rnacentral:lncRNA from 1 species
GUAUUGCCUUGAUCUAACAGAAUGCCAUAAACUUGCUCAACUUCCAGACUCUAUAGGCUCCCUGGUGUCUCUACAGCGGUUGUUAUUGUCGGGAUGCCACUCGUUGAGACAAAUCUCAGACUCGAUUGGAAAGUUGACAUCAUUGAUUGAGAUGCAUUUGAAAUCUACGGCCAUUGAAGAAUUACUUGAAUCCAUUGGUUCUUUGAAGGAGCUCGAGACUCUAGAUGUCUCUUAUUGCAAAUCGUUAGCCCGCAUACCCAACUCAAUAGGCAAUUCAACAUCUCUGUCUCAUUUUGACCUAACAGGAUGCCAUAAACUGGUUCAACUUCCAGACUCUAUAAGCUCAUUCGUGUCUCUACAACAGUUGUUACUGUCGGGAUGCCACUCAUUGAGACAAAUCCCAUACUCGAUCGGAAAGUUGAUAUCAUUGACUGAGCUGCAUUUGAAAUCUACGGCCAUUGAAGAAUUACCUGAAUCCAUUGGUUCUUUGAAAGAGCUCAAGACUCUAGAUGCCUCUUUUUGUGCAUCGUUAAUCCGCAUACCCAACUCAAUAGGCAAUUCAACAUCUCUAUGUUGCCUGUCCUAAGCAAUUGUCGAAAGCUUGCUCAACUUCCAAACUCCAUAAGCUCCCUCGUGUCUCUAUCGCAAUUGCUGUGUCGGGAUGCCACUCGUUGAGACAAAUCCCAAGCUCGAUCGGAAAGUUGACAUCAUUGAUUGAGCUGCAUUUGAAAUCUACGGCCAUUGAAGAGUUGCCUGAAUCCAUUGGUUCUUUGAACAAGCUCAAGACUCUAGAUGUCUCUUAUUGCAAAUCGUUAGCCCACAUACCCAACUCAAUAGGCAAUUCAACAUCUCUGUCUCGCCUAGACCUAACAGAAUGCCAUAAACUUGCUCAACUUCCAGACUCUAUAGGCUCCUUUGUGUCUCUACAGCGGUUGUUAUUGUCGGGAUGCCACUCGUUGAGACAAAUCCCAGACUCAAUCGGAAAGUUGACAUCAUUGAUUGAGAUGCAUUUGAAAUCUACGGCCAUUGAAGAAUUACCUGAAUCCAUUGGUUCUUUGAAGGAGCUCAAGACUUUAGAUGCCUCUUAUUGUGCAUCGUUAGCCCGCAUACCCAACUCAAUAGGCAAUUCAACAUCUCUGUCUUGCCUUGACUUAACAGAAUGCCAUAAACUUGCUCAACUUCCAGACUCUAUAAGCUCCCUCGUGUCUCUACAGCGGUUGUUAUUGUCGGGAUGCCACUCGUUGAGACAAAUCCCAGACUCGAUCAGAAAGUUGACAUCAUUGAUUGAGCUGCAUUUGAAAUUUAAGGACAUUGAAAGAUUACCUAAAUCCAUUAGUUUUUUUAAGGAGCUCAGGAUUCUAGAUGGCUCUAUCAUGCAUCGUUAGCCUAUAGAUCUAUUUCAAUAAGCAAUUCAAGACCUCAUUCCCCAACUCAAUAGGCAAUUUAACAUCUCUGUCUCGGCUUGACCUAUGCUACUGUUAUAAACUUGUUCAACUUCCAGACUCUAUAGGCUCCCUCGUGUCUCUACAACAAUUGUUUUUGUCGAGAUGCUUCUCGUUGAAACAAAUCCCACACUCGAUUGGAAAGUUGACAUCAUUGAUUGAGUUGCAUUUGGAAUUUUCGGCCAUUGAAAAAUUACCUGAAUCCAUUGGUUCUUUGAAUGAGCUCAAGACUCUACAUGUCUUUUACUGCCAAUCGUUAGGUCGCAUACCUAGCUCAAUAGGCAAUUUCACAUCUAUGUCUUCCCUUAACCUAGAUGAAUGCCAUAAACUUGUUCAACUUCCAGACUCUAUAGGCUCAAUUGUGUCUCUACAACAGUUGUUAUUAUCGGGAUGCCACUCGUUGAGACAAAUCCCAGACUCGAUCGGAAAGUUGACGUCAUUGAUUGAGCUGCAUUUGAAAUCUACGGCCAUUGAAGAAUUACCUAAAUCCAUUGGUUCUUUAAAGGAGCUCAAGACUCUAGAUGUCUCUUAUUGCAAAUCGUUAGCCCGCAUACCCAACUCAAUAGGCAAUUCAACAUCUCUGUCUCACUUUGACCUAACAGAAUGCCAUAAACUUGCUCAACUUCCAGACUCUAUAGGCUCCCUGGUGUCUCUACAGCGGUUGUUAUUGUCGGGAUGCCACUCGUUGAGACAAAUCCCAGACUCGAUUGGAAAAUUGACAUCAUUGACUGAGCUGCAUUUAAAAUCUACGGCCAUUGAAGAAUUACCUAAAAGCAUUGGGAAUAUGCAAAACUUAAGGAUAUUGGACAUUAGUGGAACUCCCAUAAUAGAAUUGCUUGAUGACCCGGGAAUAUUGGCAGAACUCCAAGAGUUUAGAGCUUCGAGAUGGAAAAAUUCUGAAGGGUCACCUAGUAAUAAUGGCCAAUUGGUUUCACCUAACAAUCUUGGUUUAGACAAGCUUCAAAAACUAUCAGAAUUACGCUCUCGCGUACUAGCGCUAGGUAUAACCUACCAGAUCCCGCAAUCACUGAAUCUAUCCCAACUAAACUUUCUCAAGAAACUUACUCUUUCUAAUUGGCUUGAAUUUCUCCUACACCUUUCUAUAAAACGUUGUAGAAAAGCUGUGAAUCUUGAUUUUGUAUUUUCAAAAGUUCAACCUAUUAGUUGGGCAUUCUAUUUACUUUUUGUCUUGUGAUACAGUUCUCUUAAAGCGUCCUAAGACACCUGCAGCCAACAAUUCAGCCAUGGACUACCAAACAGCAGAUUCUAAACACGUUUUGAAGAGAUCAAGACCUUUUGGAAUCUUGGAUGAAGUACUUGUUUCAUCUUGCUUUUUCUUUAUCAUUCUUUAUUACUUAUAGGAUGGUUCUAUCUAUAAAGAGAAGUAUCUUAUUGGGUGAUCGAUUUUUUAUUAUGUAUGGGACGUUUUUCUCAACAUUCGUAACUAGAUUUGUCAGACUUGUUACAUUUACUUCUUGCUAUUUUAAGUUUUCUCUUCAUGGAAGUAGGGAUUUUCAAUUUUCCUGAAUUAUAAACUUAAGUUGGAAUAUAUUGCCCAUUAUUAUGCGAUUCUCUUUCUUAAUUAUCUUUCUUUGCAUGCCAUUGAAUGAAACCUUUUGAAAGCACUCACCCUUUAAGCUAGCUUUUGGGGUGAGAUAAGCCCAAGACCAUCCAACAAUGAUAAACUUUUAGUUUUGACGUUUCCAGAUACCCUUAACUUUCAUGAUGCACUUAAAGAAAUAAUUGAGGAUUUGAAGGAUUACAAGAAAGUCUGAUGGAGAGAAAAAGGAGCAAAAGGGCUAAGGUUGUCAAUUUAUGUUUGCUUGUCUUAAUUGUGUUUGUUAACUAUGUAAUUCAUCAUGACUUCUAUUAGACAUGUCAAACCAUUGAAUUAGACGAGAGCAUGUAAAUAUCUCUCAACCAACUGGUUAAACGUAUGGUGAGGUGUCAUAUUUUGGUUGUGUCUAUGUUUUUGUGUUUGGUAUUGUCAUGUAAACAAUCGGUGUCAAUAUUGGUAGCAUUAAGGAGGAGUGUGGACUAGGAAGGUGUUGAUUGCAUCUUCUCCCAUUACGCAGGCAUUGUUCUCGCGUAUGCUAGUAAAAUAGUGGCUCUCAUACGAGUUUUGCAUCUUUUGAGUGCCAUGGUUUUUAUCAAUUUUCUAAAGGACUAACUAGUUUUGUAAUCUUUAUGAUGUCCUAUUAGGUGAAUAAUUUGUCGGUAAACAUUCUGCCGAUCUCAUACAACUGCCCAAGCCUCAGUCAGAGUUCUUAUUCUUCAAAUGACUUGCCCAGAAAUGUAGUCAUUACCCUAAGUCAAGGUUCACUUGUUAAGAGUAUGGAUUUCCAUCCAGUGCAACAAAUUCUGCUGCUCGGUUAGCACUUCUUUCAUACUCUAUGAAGAACAUGUUCCAUGCUUUUCUUCAGUUGGAUAUACUUGUUCCUAUUGGAGGCCAUAAGUUUGUGCUUUGGUUCUUGGAAGAUUGCUUUUUGAUGUUCUUUUGACACUAGCUUCAGCUAUUUUAAACCACGGGCUAUGAUUCUUCAAAUUUUAUGCUUCAAUAAUUUUCAGUGGGAACAGAUAUGGGCAAUGUUAUGGUUUUUGAAGUAGGCAGCGGUGCGAGGAUUGCUUCGAGAAAAUUCAAGGUUUGGGAUUUGGGAACACGUUCAAUGGCGUUGCAGGUAUGGAAGUUGAAUUCUAAAUGAAAUCAUGGCAUCUUGUUUUUGGACAUGUGAUUAUGAAUUUUAAUUCUUUGUAGGCUUCUCUGGCCAAUGACUAUACAGCAUCCAUUAACCGUGUAAUGUGGAGUCCUGAUGGAAUCCUUUUUGGUAUGUACAGAUGUCACUUCUACUUGUAUAUCAACUUAAGAAAUUGGGCAAUACAUACUUGCAAAUUGAUGAAAAAACUAAAGCUCCAAGAACCAGACUUCAUUGCAAUAUUUUUGAGGAAGAAGUGUCCAUAUGUUGCUUUUACUAAUGAUUUAUGGGUUUCACUUUAGGUGUUGCUUAUUCCAAGCACAUGGUGCACAUAUAUUCAUAUCAUGGUGGUGAUGACAUAAGGAACCACCUAGAGGUUUGUUGCUAAACAAGGAGAAAAAAAUUAAGCUUCUCUGUUCUGCUGACAAUUGCCACCUACAUGUGAAUUCAACUUGAUUUUGACUCUAGCUAAUGUCUGAUACAGCUCGAGGCUCAUGUGGAAGUGUUAAUGAUCUGCUUUUCAUAUCCAAACAAACAGUUAUGUGUUGUGACCUGUGGAGAGGACAGGUUGAUCAAGGUAUAUUUUGAUUGUUUUCCUCAGCAUUAUGAUGUUUUGUUGUUUGAUCCCUUUUAACCAAGCUAGUAGUUACGUAGGUAUGGGAUGCAGUGACUGGGGCUAAACAACAGACUUUCGAGGGUCACGAAGCACCUGUAUAUUCCAUUUGUCCACACAAUAGAGAAAAUAUUCAGGUACCUGCUUAUUUCGUGUACUAACAAGGACACGCUGCAAGCAUGGCCAAUUGGCUGUACGCUUGACCAUUCAAUGGACUUUCUUUGCUAAAACUCAGUUAGGUCAAAAAAUUUGAUUCAAUUUGUAUGAGAAGUGUGAAUAUGUGUUCUAACGGACCUUGUUCAUUUCAAAGAUUUUGCAAGUCUUCCGAAUUUUGACCUAUCUUGAUUAGAAUGUGCUUGUUAAACAUGGUGACAUGGUCCAAAGAUUAAAUUGUGAAUUUGAUUAUUUCAGGCGAUGCUACUGAGCAUGGACAACUGGGUAAAGGUUUUCGCAAUAAUGACUUCCUUGUUAACAUAAGUUUAGAUGGAAAAUUGCUUUGCUUCCAUUAUUUGUUCUCCCUUAGUUUCUCCUCUAGUUUUGAUUAGUUAAAUUAAUAAUAGAUUGAUGUUUAUUGUGCCUGGGUGGAGCAGCAAUUGGCGAUGGCUUUUUAAUUUUUUUUUUUAAAUUUAUGAUUGUGUACACUUUAUUAUAAAGAUAUUUAAUGAUAUCUAUUAGGGUUUUAGGUGGAUGUGCUCUAUCUGGACAUGUUAUUGAAAUUGAUUGUAGGAUUGUUUUAUUGUGUAGCUCAUCUUCUCAAUAGCAAUAGAUGGGAAAAUUAAGGCUUGGUUUUAUGACAACAUGGGGUCAAGAGUUGACUGGGAUGCACCAGGUCACUCUUUUACCAAGAUGGCAUGCAGUGUCAAUGGAAAAAGGUUCAGACCAUCAGCAUUGCAUUUCAAGCUUGAUUUUAUCCCGUGUCAUUCUUUAUGACUGAAAUAACCUAUUUUAACAAUUUUAUUUGGCUAUAGGUUGUUCUCAUGUGGAACCAAUAAAGAAGGAGAGUCAUACUUGGUUGAAUGGAAUGAAAGUGAGGGGGCUAUCAAACGUACUUAUCAUGGACUUGGAAAGAGAUCUGAUGGGUUUGUGCAAUUUGAUAUCGCUAAAAACAGAUUUUUGGUUGCUGGAGACGAGUCCAUGGUCAAAUUUUGGGAUAUGGACAAUAACAAUAUUUUGACAAGUAUUGAUGCUGACGGUGGAUUGUCGGUAAUUCAUUAUUGUUAAUUUAAUCCAAGUGAAUAAGCUGAACCUUUCCAUUAAACUCGCUCUUUAAAUUUGCAGGCUUCACCUUGCAUUAGAUUUAACAAGGAGGGAAUUCUAUUAGCAGUCUCAACAAAUGACAAUAGUAUCAAAAUUUUAGCAAAUGUUGAUGGGAUUAGGCUGCUAAGGACAAUGGACAGUUGGCCUUUUGAUGCUCCUAGAAUCACUCUGGGACCUCUUAUGAAGGUAAGCUUUUUCAAGCUCACACUAGCUUCAUUGAGAAGAGCUCGCUAAAUGUCGUCAAUCUUGUACUGCCACCAAUGAUUGUGAUAUUUAGUUCUGGUAAUGCUACUAUUGGGGCAAACCUAGGUAAUAGAGGGGUUCCGGUGGCAAAAUUAAAAUGUUUGAUCCAAUUUCCAGUGCAUUUGAUAGAGAAGUCUAGAAAAAUCCAAAAAAUAAAAUAAAAUCUCACAGGAUUAUCUAAAGUUUUGUGUGGAAAAAUCCGUAAAAAUUAUCUAUGUAGUGUGGCGGAGACACUUGCCUUAUAAAUAUCUCUGACUCAAGCAAAUAUUUUUGCAUGUCUUAGCCGCUGAUGCAAUCUUAUGAAAAGGCUUUGGGUCGUCCAAAAGCAAACACAUUUGGGUCUCUAUUUUUAAAAUUUUUUAUUCUCAAAAACUGAUUUGAAAUGAAAAUUCAUUUGAUAAUGUAAUCUUUUUUGAACAAUUUUUUAGUUAAUAAAUAAUUUUGAAAAUAUAUAAGAAUAAUUUUUUUACAUUUCAAAAACAAAAACAAAAAUAAAAUUUUUUCUCAUUACUUGCUUUCGUCAUACGCGACCACCGUCACUCGUCAACCACUCGCCUACUCGUCGCUCUCCACCAAUUGAUAGUCACCGCCUAGAAAUUAUCUUUGCUCAAUUUCUCGUUCAUGGAUUAAAAAUAGAAAAAUUUAUUUGUGAUUAGAAAUUAUUCACAUGAAUUAAAAUAGUUAUCGUUCGUGCCCAUAAUACACCAACUAAAAUAAACCUCUCUACCUUCGUUUGUAUUAUGCAUAGUAUAAUAAAAGCCUUCCUUAUAUAUAUAUAUAUAUAUAUAUAUAUAUAUAUAUAUAUAUUCUUGUGUUCCCUUGCUGCCGCUUUCCGAAAUCCUUGUCCUAUUGUAUUACAUCAGCAGCAACUGUGACUUGCGGAGCAUUUUUUCCUCACGUCCAUCCAGUCAUAUUUUAACACAUCUCUGUGGAUUUUGAAUUAAAAAUAAAAUUCCCUGAUGAUCCAUCGGCCAUGGACCUCGGACUAGCCGGCUGCCACCCUUGAACACCACCGCUCCGGAGGCCGAGCUCCAAAUCUAGCCGAGUCGUGGCCUCCGCGCCGCACCAGAUCUAGUCCACCUUCACUUGCUUCAAGCUCGUCCAUGGCCGCCUCCGAAUCCGGUCGAGCUCGACUCUACGCCAGAUAUCGUCUGCCUUAAAAACGGUUCGAGCUCGGCGGCUCCUCCAUGACCGCCGAGAAGCCGCCGAGAUUUCGGUCACAACGUCGAGCUUCGCAGCCAUAGAAGGCCAUCACCUCCAGAUGUAGAGGCUCAAUGGCAAUGGAGGCCGAGCGUCCAGAUCUGGCCGUGGCGAAGGUCGUGACAUCACCUCGAGCUGCAGCAAUGACCGCCGUUAGAGGUCGCCUUAAGAGACGGCGUUAAAAGUUGCAGACGGCCAUGGACAGAGCGUGUAACAAGAAAGGAGACAAAAAAAAAAAUAGAAAAGAAAAGAAGCAAAGAAUGGUGGGGAACAAUAAGAAAAAGAAACAUCUUUUCCAACUUUUCAACAGCAUCAUCGGCAUGAGCCACGCCGACGACCAUGGACGGCCAGAUCUCGAGAGCCAACGGUGUCGCUGGCCAUGGCGGAGCAAGGUUCGUGUGUGAUGCCGACGGCCAUGGACGGCCAAAUUUGGAGAGCCAGCGGCGUCACUCGUCUAGGUGACGCCCAUGGCCAUGGUCGGCCAGAUCUGAAGAGCCAGCAGCGUCACCGACGCAUCAUCGGCCGUGGCAGCUCGUCCGAGGUCAAGUGGCUGGCUUUGGACGAACGAGGAAGAUGAAGCUAGAGGAAACAGUUCCACCACUCAAAGAAACUCCACAUCAAUAUUUUUUAAUUUAAUUCAAGACACGUAAUAAACUUUUUUAAGUGGAUAUCAAGGAAAAAAUGCUCGCCCCAUCAGCUGACGCGGGGCUGUGAAAUCACUUAAUAUUUUCCCCUUUCCUCACACAUCUACACACAUGGCACAUAAACUAGAAAACCAUCGGGCAGCAAUGGUAGGGAUGGUAAGUGGUAUCAUUACUGCAUUAGGUCGUUAAAUUUUUAUAAGGAGCUUUAUUUGUUGCUUAUUUUAUACUUAAAUGAUGCAAUAAUUGCAUUUGUAUGUGCAUAUUAUUGGACGUCUUUCAAUGACAACCUCUCUUUUGAGCUCUACAGAAGCCCAGAAUUGCCGAUGACUCGACAGACAAAUCACGAAAUUGGAAACUGACAGAAAUCAACGAACCAUCACAAUGCCGGUCCAUAAGGCUGCCUGAUAACUCUACAGCUACGAGGGUACAAAUGACUGCCAAAAUAGGAUUUUUCUCAUGUAAAUUUUUAAGUGGAUGUCAAGGGAAAAAUCUCGCCACAUUAGCAGUUAACACGGCGCUUUGAAACUGCCAAAUAUUUUCUCCUUUGCUUCUCGCACAUCUACACGCACUAGCAUAUAAACUAGAAAACCAUCAGGCAGCAAUGGUAGGUAUGGGAAGUGGUAUCAUUACUGCAUUAGGUAGUUAAAUGUUUUUAACCAGCUUUAUUUGUUGCUGACGCUGUUAGUUAAAUGAUGCGAUAAUUGCAUUUGUAUGUGCAUGUUUAUUGGGCGUCUUUCAAUGACAUCCUCUCAUGUGAGCUCUACAGGACAGUGAGAACAUGGCCGAUGUGAAGCUCGGAAUUGCUGAUGACUCAGGAGACAAAUUGCGAAAUUGGAAACCGACAGAAAUCAAUGAACCAUCACAAUGCCGGUCCAUAAGGCUGCCUGAUAACUCUACGGCUGCAAGGGUACAAAUGAUUGCCACAUUAGGACGUUCUUAUGCAGCAUUUCUUUUCCACAUUAAUCUCUCACGUUUCUACUAGAUAAGAACAAAUUUGAAUAGGGGUUGCAUUUAAUGCACUUGCUUUACUAGCUUUAUUCACAUGUGGUCCAAUGAUUUAUCUCUUAAACCUCGGCACUCAAAUGCAAUUAUUGCAUCAUCAUUUGGCAUUUUAUAGUUGACUGAUUGUUUCAACUACACAAAUAGGAAAGGAUAAGAUCAACAUUAAUAAAUCUAUGAUGAUGGCGUGGCAAUUGUGCUUGAGUUAUGUUGGCUGUGGAGGUCAUGAAUUUUAUAAUAACGUUGAAUAGCAAGAUGGAUGAUUCCUGAUUUAGAAUGUAAUGGUAUAUUUGCAUAACGAGACUUUUUUAGCCUUUGCUUGGAAUAUGGAUUGUUCUGUGGACUUUCAUGCAGUUACAUCUGGUAAAAGACAGAUUAUUUACGGGAUGAAUUUGGCUUUAUACAUGGCAUGCAAAGUAUAUCAUUUUGCACCACUUUGAUGCUUGUGGGGAAUGCUAAGCUCGUGAAAGCUAUUUUGACCUUGUCAAUUCCCAGAAACUGUAAGUGGAAAUUUACCUGCUGAAUGUAAAUAUACAAAACACUAGAGGCAAAAGAAUAGAUAGACAGCUAGAUGGUUUAAGUCAAGGUUCCACUUUUCUUUUGGUAACUGUUUCAACUGGGUUUAGAUGUCAUUUGUAUCAUAUGCUCUAUUCAUAUGUAAGCAUACAGUAUGCAUAUAUAAAUAUGUGUGUGUGCGCGUGCGUGCUACUAUGCUGAUAGAUAUGCAGGCAGCGUCGCCAAGUGUCUUUUUGCAUGGAUAUCUGCAUCUAUCAAUUAGUGCCCAAAUCUCUGGCAUCUUUCUUCUGCAUUUUAUUUUGACUUUCGGUAUUACAUUUGAUUGUCGCCACUGAAGCUGGUAAAACGAAACAGGUCCCAAGAUUGAGCUAUAUAAACUCGGGUCGUGCCAUUCUGGCAUUGUCAUCGAAUGCUGUACACAAGCUCUGGAAAUGGGAAGAAAGUGAUCAAAACUUAACGGGCAGGGUAAGGAAAAAAGAGGCAAAUUCUUUUGUUGUUUAGCGUAUUGUUAACUACAUUGAUUCUUCUUUUCGCAGGCUACAACUAGUGUAGUACCACAGUUAUGGCAACCUCCCGGUGGGAAUUUGAUGACCAAUGAUACAUGUGGUGCAAAUCCUGAAGAUGCAGUUCCGUGCUUUGCAGUGUUAGAGAAUGGUCCUUUUCUAAUAUCAGCAUCAGGGGGGGAGAUCUCUUCGUUCGAUAUGAGGACUUUUAAGGUGAAUAUUUUCCCUAAGAGAUGUAUACAUCCUCUUGUCAGUUUUUGUAGCACUAUCCACAAGGCACGAGAUGAUGAACUACCCCUUUGUGCUUACUAUGCCCAGUAUUUCCUCCACAUUUUUAUGGGAGCUAAAAUUAAUUGGUUCAAUCAUGUAUAAAAACGUAUUGAACUCUAAUUGUUAGGAGGUCCAUGAAAGCAAUUGCUCCGAUUUUCAUGGGGAUUAUCUGUUCAAGAGUGCAGCAUGUCCCUUUUUACUUGCUAAGCGAGAUAAGGGCUUUUCAGUGUCUUCGAUGGAAUCUUUUUGCUCUUAUUGAUUAAAGAAAACAAGCAGUGCUUUUUUAACCCGUCUAGAGAUCUAUUGGUCCAACUUGUUCUCUCCCUUUCCUAAGAAGGGAGAUGCCAUUGAGGCAAGUGCCUCUUGGCACGUGUCCCACUGUUAUUUAUAAAGUUGUUAAUAUUAUCCUACAUGCUGAUAUGCAGACGAUGAAAAAAUUUAUGCCCCCGCCACCACCGCCACCACGAAACAAUGACAUUAUUGAGAUAGGAAUGGAGGACUCCGCUAUUCAAAUUUAUAGUGCUCGAGCUGAUGAGGUGAAACCUGUUUUCAUUGUCGUUGAAAGUUAACCUUGUGAUUAUCCACAACAAAGUUACGGAUAUUGACUAUUUUACUUUCUCAGAUCCAGAGAAAACUAAAAGGACAUCGGAGAAUAAUUCAAGGCUUUGCCUUCUCAACUUACUUAAAUGUUCUCGUGUCUUCUAGUGCUGAUUCUCAGGUACUAGACCAAUGCUUUUUUACUUGCUAGUGAGACAAGGGCUUUUCUGUGUCUUUAGUAGGAUCUUUUUGCUCUUACUGAUUAAAUAAAACAAGGCAAGAGCUUUAUUCCACAUUCCAUAAAUCUAAUAUUCGAAGUUGCCUUCUCCCUUUCGCAAGAAGGGAGACGCCAUUAAGGCAAGUGCCUCAUGGCACAUAUGUCCAACUGUUACCUAUAAAGUUGUUAAUACUAUUCUUCCUGCCAAUAUGCAGACAUUGAUAACAUUUACACCCCGACCACCACCCAUAACAUUUCUGGCGUCUUUUCCUCAAUGUGUAUAUGAAGCAAUAGGAAGGGAGGACUCCUCUAUUCAAAUUCACGAUCAUCGAAUUCAAAAGGUGAGAACUAAUUUUAUUGUUGUUCAAAGUUGACCUUGUUAUUAUCCACAACGAAUAUAUGGAUAUUGACUGUUUCACUUUCUCAGUGGGUGGCAAAUCUAAAAGGACAUCAGAAAAGAAUUACAGGCCUUGCCUUCUCUAAUGUCUUAAAUGUUCUCGUGUCUUCUGGUGCUGACUCUCAGGUACAAGACCACUACCACAUCUUCCUUUCCAUGUAGACAUGCCUAUGUUUUGGGUAGAGAUAGCAAUGUAGUUUAACCUGCUCCAAAAAAUGGGUUGAUGUUCACUCUGGAUAUAUUGAUGCUUACGCCCUCAUCAUACGUCAGUACACGAGGCAUCCUUAACUAGGCAGAAUAAAUCCUUCCAGAAAACUUCUUCUUUUGUGGUGACAGAUUAAUCCCAUCCCAUUAAGUGGGAAAUAAAAAAGCUAUGUUGUCAUGUUGUUGCUUACAACUGAUGCUUGGUGUUAUUCUAAUAUAAAAUACAACGUAAAAUUUUAUUGUUGCAUUAGUCAAUCAAUGUUGAUGUUCCCUUUGAUAAUUGUCAAUUGUCGCUGCAGUUGUGUGUUUGGAACACUCGUAGAUGGAAGAAGCAGACUAGUAAGUUUCUGCGAAUGCCGAAUGGGCGAGGAGCAGCGCCUCUUGCUGAUACUCGUGUUCAAUUUCAUGUGGAUCAAAUACAUCUGCUGGUUGUUCAUCAAACACAGAUCGCCACAUGUGAAGCUCCUAAACUAGAAUGCCUCAAGCAGGUAUUGAAUAUUUUUUUUAUUAUGCACAAUCCAAUCUCUCAUCUCAUCUUGAUUGCAUAAUAAGUAUCAAUAUAUUAGAUAGUAUGAGUCGCUUCAUGCCAAAUGUGUGUUUUUUUUUCAUUCAUUGUUGAUCGCAACUAGUGGGACACUCGAGAAGCUAGCGCUCCAAUCACAGAUGCUACAUAUUCAUGCAAUGGCCACUCAAUAUAUGUGAGCUUUGAAGACGGGAGCAUCGGUGUUCUUUCUACCUCUACACUCAGAUUGAUAUGUUGUAUUAAUCCUGCGGCUUAUAUCCUUCCAAAACCUAGGUAAGUUGGUUAUUGCUGCUCACUUAACCUCAUUCCUUUAUGGAAAAUGGCAAGUCUCAUUCGCAAAGUUCCAUAGUCUCGUGAAUUAUUCAUUCCUUACUGAUGUAUUUGGCAGCUUGAGAGUAUACCCGCUAGUCAUCGUAGCACAUCCAUCAGAACCUAACCAGUUUGCGCUAGGGCUUACUGAUGGCAGCGUGUAUGUGCUUGAGCCAUUGGAAUCUGAAGGAGAGUGGGGUGGUUCUCCUGUUGAAAAUGGUGCUGGGCCUAGCACGACCUAUGGCACAACCAAUUCAGAUCAACCCCAAAGGUAGUGCAGGCCAUGUCUCUCCCUGUGAAACUUGUGAGCAUUACAAUGCUAAGCCGGCUUUCCUCCACCUUACUUGAUUCAAGUUUUGAGGGGAUGCUGCUGAGGGUAGAUUUUACUACCUCAGGGUACUUCCUUGCAACAUAGUUCGGUAUAGUUUGUCCUAAUCGACUUCUGCUCAAGUCUUGUGGUGAUAACUUGCUUUGUUAUAUUCAUUUGGGUUGACUGGAAGUGAAAGAAGAAAAACAUGAGAUUAGAGUGUAGUUUUGAAUACAACAAAUUGGAGGUAGAGAGGAUGUCCCACUUCCUACACAACCAGAAACCUAAGGACUUGAUUAUACUAGUUAGUUAACCAAUGUCUUUUUAGUACCUAAACUUAAUUAAUUUAUAAACUAAUUGUCCACACAAUUUUUGACCAUUUUAUUAACCUAUGUUACUAAAUGAUGUUCAUGUAUGAUUGCACGAUCAAUUAAAAAGUAAACAAUCACAAUCAAUGUAAUGGAAGUAAAUUAGAAGAAAGUAGACCCAGUGGAGUGUCAAGCGAAGAAUCAUAUGGCUUUGUUAUUAAGCCUCUGGGCAACAACCUGUGCUGAAUUCAAUUGAGGCCAAUUCAUCAAAAGAGUGCUCUACCUAAACCUAAAUAAAUUAAAGUUACUUAUCAAAAACCCCCUAAACUAUAUGUAUACUAACUAAAUAAACUAAGCUAAAUCUAGCAUCACAACUUAACGACCUAAUCAAGGUCUCCGUUCCUAGCAAUUUUCAAAUUUUUAUUUUUUUUUGAAUUUUUGGAAAUUAAUUCUUAUCAUUUUUUGAAAAUAGGGACCUGAGCUCCGGCUAUGAGCUGGACGCUGGUCUCACGAAUCUGGGAUAAUAACUAAUAACCACAGUUCGGGCUCUAAUGUUCAGGCCCCUCCAAUUCUAACUUCACUGAGCCCAAUUUCGAUUAUACAUAUUCUAAGCCCACUACCCAUCGUAACUACUCUAGCCCAUUUUCUCUUCCAACUUCACCUAGUCCAUCUUUAAGCCCGAUUUCUAUUAUAGGUAGAUUAAACCCUAAGCCCGCUCGAAACCCAUCUCAUUAUUAUAUUUAAAUCAAUUCUCCUCUUUUCUUACGUCUUUUCGUCAUUUUUUUUUAUAUAUUAUUUUCUUCUUCCUUCUUCCAGCCCUUUGUCCUCUUGGGCAAGUCAAGAAUCUAACCAGCCAUUUUCUCGCCGAUGAGCUCCAUAGAGACUUAACAAAAACAUAUGUGAAAUUAUAGAACGAAAACUCAAGAAAAAUCUAUGUUCUGAUUUGAUCUUGAUAACAAUGAAUUUUAAUAAGAAUUAAAUCUGAAUGCUUAUGGACUGACUUGUAGCAAGUAAUGUAUGCUAAAAUUUCUUCAGAUUGAACUAGAUUAGGAAUUAUUUCACCAAUAUAUCUUAGAGACAUUUCAUCAAACAGUAUAUGUGCACCAAAGGGAUUGAAUCUUGUCAAUAAUUGAAGUUUUUUUUUUCGUCUAAAAUCAAUGUCAGGACCAUGAAGCCAUUACAAAUCAUCAAAUUACAACCUAGAUCAUCAGUGAUUUUCACAUUAGUAACCUGAACGUGGUCCAGUCAUGCAUCUUUCCGAAACAGGGCAAGAAAGAGGGGAAUGAAAUUAUCUUCUCAAGGAGUUCUCAGUUGAGAACUAAAGGCUAAUGAACAAACUAACGGCUAGACAUAGUCUGGUUUCUGGGCAUUUAUGCGUCCGAGUAAUGCAAGUUGGACUUAAUAGAUGUGGAUGGGCCAUGGGCUUGGCUUGGACGAAUUGGAUCGAGCCCAUCGCAUUGAAUAGAUAUCCUUUUAAAUUAGUUGAUGAAUUGAAUUCCCUUCAGUUAUUAUUUUUUGUAAUCUUCAUUUUGGUUUUAUUUAUUCAUAUCUUCAAUAUAAACCGCCUAAGUUGCCGAUUUUCCUUUAAUUGUUGACUAAAAAUCAAACAUCCACGGCAGGUCCAAGACCUCAAAAUUGGUUGAAGCAAUUUCCUAAGAGUUGUUGUAAUCCUGAAGGUGCUACAAUUGAGAAAUGUUUGACAAACCCUUCACAAAAGCCGCAAUGCCCAUUUUCAUAGUCCAAGUAACUCCUAACAUUAAUUAUUCAUACUAUUUUCAAAAUAAUUCAUAUAUUUUUAGAUAGUCAUAAUAUGAAUAAUUUAUUUAGCAAUUUCUAUUAAGAGUCGAAUUGUUAAUUCGAAACUUUCAAGCAAAGAAUUAUAAAAGGAGAUUGCCAAAGGCAUUGGAAGGCAAUUUGGAAAAAGAAGUAUUUUAUAAGAGUCAUAAUAAGUCAAAAUUCAACAAAAUGUCAAUCGAAGUGCUUAAUCAUGAAAAAGAAGAAGCGAUACCAAUAUCAAAAACCAAAGAGCUGUUGGCAGAAUCAAAAUUUCCUUCUCAUCUCCUGUUGGUGUAUAAACUAUUUAUUUAGUUCCGAAAAGAAUAAAUAUAAAUUUACGUUUAUUUUGUCACAUAGUUUAACUUAAAAGUACUUUGAUUUGAUAGGUGGAACCAUCACAACUAAACUGGGUAAGGUCUCUCUUUAAUUUUUGUGGGUAUAUAUUUACAAUGUUAAUAAGUACCUGACAUUUAGAAAUGCUGUGGACAGUAGCUCUCCUUCAUCCUUACAAUGAAUGUCAAUACAACGAAAAUUAAUUAACCACAUUUAAGCCAUUCUCAAUUACUUGCAAGCAUCUGCACACAAAGUGAAACCUGCUUAUUUCCGUCUUCGACUGGGCUUCUUACUCUUUCUAGCUGGGGUCGACUGCUCCAAAGGCACUGGUAAUAGGGUUCCUCCUUUAACACCAUCUUUAUCAUUCAUCUUAUCGAGAGUUUUCUGGGCUCCAAUAUACACCUUAAGGUCUCUGAUCUGUGAAGGAUGACAAGGGACAUGCCACCGUCAACGCACACUAUGCACGCACGCGCGCAGAGUUUUCACAAUAUUAUAUACAAAUUAUUACAGUUUUAAGGCUAAAAGAAAAUACCUGUUCUUCUAAGUCAAGUAUUUGUUCAUCCUUCAACUUCAGUGACAGAGUUUUCCUGCAGAUGCACAGAAGCGUAUGUGUCCUCCAUUCAUGUCAAAUUAGAAGGGAAGACUAAAUUCCUGACAGCUUUAAUUGACUGGAAUCAUAUACUGAAAAAGUGUCGGUACAAUUGACAAUAAUGCUUAUUGAGGAAACUAGUCCACGUAACUUCAAUGAAGAUGGACAAGACGAGUAUACUUCAAAAGGCUGCAUGAAUUUUUCUAUAAAGAAAAUAUUGUAGGCAUAUUAAGGUACUUAAAAGGCAUCUACACCUAUAUUGCUUGACAUGUGAAGCUCAAAUAAGCUUUAAGUCUACCCAAUGUAUCUUCUUUUCCUUUUAUUUUCUAUUUUGUGAAAGUUGGAAAUGUCGACAUAACGCAGUAUGAACAACCAAUCGAAUUUUAAUUGGAAUUAGUAGAAUUUCAAUAUUGAACCAUAUCAAUUAAAAUUUGAAUCCUGAACCAUCACAGAUUAAUGUUCAAAUAUCUCCAGUGUGUAAAAAAGUACUUUGAAAUUGGACCACCACCAUGAAGAUUUUAACAUUGAUUUCUGUCGAUAAAGUUCAACCUCUAAAGCAGUAGCACUAUUUCUUCAGAGGAAAACAAAAUUACAGAUGGAGCAUAUAUAAACAAAAGAACAAAAUUAUGGAGAGCACCGACACAUGGAACCUUCUCCAUACGUGCUUCGCUCUCUCCUUUCUCCUUUUCCCCUCUUUGUCUCUUUCUUUCCCUCGUUAGAGUUUGUCCCAUCUUGCCACUUUUUUAAAAGGAUUCAAUAAAAAAACACCAAAAGCUUUUUCAUCUUCUUGCCACAUCCCCCAACUAAUAAUUAACCUAAACUUAAUUAUCCUUCCCAAGUAUGGUGAAAGGAAGGCAUAUUACCCAUGUGAUAAACUCUUACUCAUCAUAAAAUGACUUUCAUUCUUUUGCCAUUUGUUAUGUGUUACAAGUCACGUAUAGUUGCUAUUCACAUAUUUGAAUUAGAAACUGUAUUUCCUCUUUCUUCUUCGAACUUUAACCUUUUUUACCUCACAUCUAAAAGUCCAUUGCACGUGAACACUUCCUCUUCAUGAUACCCUUCCCACUCUUUUCUCAUCUUCUCAAAUGUCUGUUUCCACUUCCUCCCUCAUGACCAACCUCACAUGAACUAUUACUACAAUGCUGCUUUCAUUUUACUGAUUAGUUUUAUGAGACUAUGAAUGCUAUGGUAUUACUUGUCUAGAGAAAUCAGCAAUGAAAAAUACCUCUCUUCAAUUUCCUUAACCUUUCUCCGCAUCAUAUCUUGGUUCUUGAUAAGAGUUUGAUUAAGCUGCAACCACAAGGAAUGGCAUCCGUUACUGUUAUGAAUGAGUGAAAACUAUUGCAUCUGAUUGUAAUAUGAAAAUGAGGCAUGUGAAAAACAAGCAAAACAACAAUCAGCCUUGGCUUCAGGCAGCCCUCCUCUCAAACUUUAAACAAACAAAAAUCACAAAAGGUAAAACAGAGAAGACUAAAGCCUUACCUCUGCCACGGCCUUCUUUUCAUCACCAAGUUUCCCCAACUUACUAUGGAUGUCUUCAAUCUUUGAAGUCACACCUUUCUCGAUUGCUUCUAGUUUGGAAUUUUCUUUUCUACUUUUGGCUUCUAACAUGAGAGACUCAUAAUGCUAACAGAGAAAAACAAAAGAAUUAAUAGGGGAUGAUAUGUUCAAGGACUUACAAUGUAUUCUUUAAAGUCAGUCUAAGGAUGAUGGCAGUCUAUGUAACAACAAUGACAAACAUGGGUUAGAAAUGGAACACUAUCAUCAACAGUAGCAUGGGCAGUUUAUAUAUAAUCUACUGGCUUUUGUAAUUCUACUUCCGAUACAACAGGUUUUCAAUUCAGAUACUCUUCCUUCUAAGACACAUCACAAAAAGUCAAUAAUAAAAGAGUCCUGGCACCUUAGGGAAACUCAAUUCAUUUUCUACCACAGAUAUAUUAGUAAGAAAACAGAAAAGAAAAGAAGAAUACCGUAAGUUUUGCAUUUCUCUCGAGCUGAUGCAAGCCCACUAGUUCUCUUAUACUUCCUAUAUAAGCUCAUUAGACAAAUGCAGUAUGCAAAUCGACAGGUAUAAAAUGUUGUACACUACAUAAAAGCAAAUGAAGCUGAGAUUAUACAACAUGAGUGUAAUUACUUUCCUUCUCUUCACAACAAUUCUGACAAUCCCAUUGAUUUCCAAGAGUAAAAUGAGUUCACUUAAGGAAAAAAAGAGAGAGAGAGAGAGAAAAGAAAAUGGACAAACAUUUUUUGAUCUGAAAUAACUAAACUAAUGUUCUAUUAUGGUUUUCUCCUAAAAUAUGUGUACUUAAAAACCAUUACCUAAAGCAAAAGCACAAUCGAACGCAAGCUUUCACAAGUAAUGCUUAUAACCAUGGCUGAUCAGUCAAUAUAAUAAAAUGUAAAAGACUAAACAGGGAGAAUUGAAAUGGUCUUGGUAUACGCAUGCUUACUUUUCUUUGCACUUCCAGCUGACUUGAAGCUAGAUGAAUAUAGUCGGCGUGAAUCUACAAAAAAGUAAAGCUACAGUGUCAGAGUAAAUGAAGAAAGUCUGACAAUUAUAAUGGAGGCAAUAUCCACUUUGCAGGCCCAAUAAUGAACUUGUGACAUUUGGCCAACAAAAUGAACAUGUGCAGUACAAAAACAGAAACAGAAUCUUUCAUUGUCAGUUGUCAGCACCUAAAACAGUAAAAGCAUCAUGCACCUCAAAACUUCAAACAUUUCACUUAACUGAGUCCAAGCUCCAAAUCUUUGCAGGGAAAGGGGAACCAGAAAACAAAAAUAUUCAAAGCAUAAAAAUAAGAGGACACAUGAACCUACUGCUUCGAUUUUGCUGCUGAAGAGCGCCCCACUAAUUUCAGAAUCCUCGCUACAACCGCAGCUACCACAAUCUCCUUCAAGUGAUUCACAGUAUGAAUUCAUCUCCAAAAGCUUGCCGUCAGCUUUUGAUUGAUUAAGCCAGUGAACAUAAGUGUCCCCAACAUAAUCCCAAAUUUGCUGUGUUCUUAAAUCCAGAGAAUAGCAAUGUUGUGUAUUUUUCCAAUGGCUGAUUGCGUGGUUAUCUUUGUAUCUACAAAGCCAGAAAAGAAAAGCUAUGAUGAAGACAGCCUAUCCAAUCACUAAAAUUAUAGAAUGAGCGAAAAUUCCAGCACAUCAUGACUGGAUCCAUCACCUUCCACAUCCGACAAAACCACAUAUGAGACAAACCCAAAGAUUUUCCUUUGUUCCACAAAUAAAGCAGGAAGGUACCUCAUCUUGCUGUUGGCAUAGAUGGCAAACCUGGUAAAGAACAGAAACAGAAUCUUCUUCACAAUCUGUUAACAGAGGGGCAUCCCUGAUGAUGUUGCAAAAUGAAACUACAUUUCCAAUCAAGGUAAUUUCUUGCAACCAAAUCAAGAUAUGUGCUGUAAUUGACAUCUUUAGCAAUGUAAUUGGAACUUGCAAUAAAAUCAAAGGAAGACCCUUGGGACAUCACCAGCAUGGCAGACAUCAUGUUGACUUAUUUUAACCAUAAAGAUUGAUGAAUCAAGCAAAAGUUAGUAUGCACAUGUCUGUCGAUAUAUCUUCUACAUGGCACUUUUUCAACUUUUGAUAUUACAUGAGCUCAAAGGUACUUUUUUUAUACAAAUUCACAUGGACAGAGCAUAUUAGAACAUCACUUGAAAUGUAAAAUACGACCAUGAAACAUCUUAGCUUCAAGAUGGGGAAUGUUUGAGGUCAAAGAUCAGAAUUUUGACAUCAGUAUGAUCAUCCUGUACUUGUGAACACACACAUAACUUAUCAUGUAUGCUUGGCCACUGCUAUUACUUCUGUCACUCUUUGACUCACGAGAAAUUUGACAUAGGAGUGACAGGACCAUCGGAUCAAAUACACAUGAUGAGACAUUGCAAAGAUUCUUGUGUCAGAAUAUGAUAAUCAACAAAAAGUAACUCCUAGGAGCCACGCCAUUGACCUAUUCCAAAUCUCCAAAUAAAUGUCAUGAUAAUUUAAAAGAAAUCCUGAACUUAGUAAGCGCAAUAGAGUAAAGGAAAAUUCUACUUUUCAUUCAUAUACUUUCACACGACUUCUAAUCAUGUUUCCAUACUUUUAAUUUGCCUAACCAAGUCCAUCUACUUUAACAAUCUUUCUAAUCAAGUCUUUCCGACACUUAAUACAACCAAAUUCAAUUGAAGUGGCCCUUCGACGACAACAAUGUAUGAUGCCGAUAAAAUUUGCAGAUGCCCACGUGGACAUGUAUGGAAAAAUUUAGCCAAUGUAGACGACCUUGAAGUGUGACAUGGAUAAAAUAAUGGACGUCCACAUUAGAAAAAUUUUAUCCACGUCACACAAUGAAGACAUCUGGCAGUCACAUCAGCUGAAUUUGGCCUGAUUUGGUGUCAGAGAGACUUGAUUAGAAAAUUGGUAAAAGUAGAAGAACUUUAUUUAACAAAUUAACGGUACAAGGGACUUGAUUAGAAAAAAAUGUGAAAGUACAGAAUAAAAACAAUACUGCCACAACUGCUACAGCCAGUAUUAAUUAUCAAAAACCAACAAUUAAUCCACAGUCAGCAGAUUAACAGAGAGAUAGUGGCAGUAGCUUGGAAAUUACAUUAUAAAUUCAUCUAAUCCGUAUCAGCAGAAGAAUGCCUAACCUGACAAGACAAGUAAGUCCAUUUUGUACCACAUGAACAAUGAAAGGAAUGGUCACACUGCGUACUCAAAAUUCCACUGGUAUCUGGGUCCAAUCUCUGACAUUUUUUUAAAAAAAAGUUGCAACUCUGAACAACUUUUGAUAAACUCAUCUCACUGCGGAGGAAAUAUAAUCAGCAAGGGGGCACCAGCAUGGCUUACCAAGACAAACUGGACAAGAGGGUAGCUCCGUAAAGCCCGAUGGGGGUGUGCUAGCUACAUCAGCUGAUUCCGUAUAGUCCACUUCGUGCAGAUAUAGAAUAUGGCAUACCUCAGCCUGAAUGUCCAGAAGACGAGUAUUAAAAGUGAAACAGAAAUCGACUAUGUGAUCUCACAGCAUACAACAGGUGCAAAAAUUGCAAAUACCUCAGCAGGCGAGAAAUUCUUGCCAUUGAAGGUGCAAUAGAAACCAUCAGCAGCCUUUUGAUCGGUAAGCUCGAUCAGCACACUGUACCUAUCUUCCAUCCCAUCAUUCCUACAUCAAACGCACAAUUCGCAAUACAACGAUCACUAAAACCAUUAAAAAGCAUUUAAAAAAGAACCCAGAUCGGAAAACCCAGUUCCACCGUCGGAAUGCUUCCAAAAAAUUGAACUUUCAUCAUCGGACCCCCCCUAAGGCAUGAUCAUGAGCAAAUUUUUGAGUUUCGAGUCCAUCUUUUAGAUUUUUCGUCAGCGAAUUCUAAUUCCUCGAAUUCUCUCUUUCGCUUGCCCAAUUCAUCUCACCAACUGCAAAAACCGGUCCGAAGUCCCGAAGAAGAGGAGGAGAGAAAACAGAAACGAUGGAAGCCUUACCUGAUGAACCGGAGCUCGGAGACGUCGUCCAUCCGGGGGCCGCAGAACCGGAUGAAGUCGUCGGGGGAGAAGUAAUUGGGGACGGCGACGACGAAGAGGGUGGUGGAGCGGGCGCCGGGGCUCGAGAGGGGCGCGUGCGACAGCGUCCGGAACAGGUGGACCAUGCCCCUCCUCUCGGUGAACCUAGGGCUCCCCGGCGGCGGCGAGGAGGAGGAGAAGCCGCCGUAGUCGGUGGCGAGGGGGUGGUCGGUGUCCACCGAGUGGCCCCGGAAGAAGAACAUUUUUUAUUUAUUUCGGGUUUUCGAAAUAUAAAAAAAAAAAAAAAACUAAAUUUGAAAUUGAUAAUAUGUAAAUUGUCAUCCAAUUUCAUUGAUAUCAAAUUAAUUUUUGAUUGAGCAAGUCGAGAAUCAUGUGAAUUAUGUGAUUGCUUAUGAACGACAUAAUUUUAUAAUCAUCUGAUUCUCAUUUACUAUUAAAAUGAUGAUGCAUCUAGAUUGACAUUUGUAAUGAAUUCUAUAAACAUUGAAAAAGUAAAAAAUGAAAAAGGCCUAAACUGACCUAGUCGUGUAUUCUAUUUCUUUUGCUUCAUCUGACAAACAAAACAUGACCAAACAAGCUAGAUUACUCCUAAAUAUUCUAAAACUGAAAUGCAAGAGCAGUCGAGUGUCUAUUCGGCAUAAAAAUUGCUAUUACAGGUGAUUAUUAUGCAAGCCUAGUUUGGGCCAACAUCAGGAGUAAUGUGUUGCUCAAGCUCACUAAUAAAAUGAAUCAUACAUAGAAAUGUUGGGACACGGCUUAGGUGAAGGUCGGGCAAGCUAGGAUUUUUUACCGUAAGGAUAUUUUAUAGUCUCGGGGUCAUGUCUCUCAUUGUGAUGUUGCAAAGUGUAGAUUUUAUAGUCUCGAGGUCUUCCUCCUUACACACUUUGGCACAAUUUGUCUUAAAGUGGUACAAUUAACAUCCUCAUCGACUUGUAGAUUUUAUAGCCUUGGGGUCUUCCUCUGGACAUAGUUUGGCACGGUCUGUUUUAAGUGGUACAAUUAGCAUCCUAAUCGACUUCUGCUCAAGUCUAGUGGCGAAAAUUUGUUUUAUUAUAUUCAUUUAGGCCGAUUGAAAGUGAAAAAGAAGACUGACCAAAAAAAAAGAAAGUGAAAAAGAAGAACAUGAGAUUAGGGUGUUGCCUAAAGCGUUGUAUAUUCGAGUUGGAGACAGGUUUAUCUGAUUUUAGUUAGCAAGCUAAAGGAUCGUAGGAACAGGGUUUAGUUUUUGCAGGCGGCUUCUUCUCUUGUUCCUUUUGCGUCGUGCUGAAAGUACUUUUCUUAUGUAUUUUAUUUAUUCUUUUUAAUUUGCUGAAGUAGCAUUUGUUAGCACUUAGCAGGUUCUCUUUUCUUGUUCUUUCGCCACCAAAAACAAAAAAAAAAAAUCUUCUUCCUGUGUUCCUAUUAUGAACGCGAUUUGAGUGCAACAGCACUCAGACCUUGGAUGAAAGUAAAUACUUCGCCAUGGUCUAUCUCGACAUUUUGCUUAUUGGAAUGCAAUCUUUGGGAAUCAAGUUCCAUCUUUUUUAGGAUGAUGGUCUUUAACUGCAGUCGGUUAAACACUGCAUCGUCGGGGACACAAGUCGGUUAUUUCUCCAGCUUUUACAGUUAACGGACUUGAUUUUUUUCAUUUGCAAAUGGACACAAAGCAGGGAGGAGCAUGACAACGAGCCUCUUUUGAUCUCAUCUAUAUUCCUAUCACCCUUCCCUUACUACGCUAUCAGCCACCAAAGAGUACUUUCUCUCAGCACAUGAGCCUAUAUUGUCAUUGCAAAGUGCUUGCACUUCAAACAAAUGCGGAAGUAGGAUGUGCAAUUUAGAGUGUCUGAUUUGAUUCGUAUACAGCGGGUUCAACCCUCGACAAGUUUGGAUGUCACACCUUAAAAGGCACAUUCUUCUGAACGGCUGAGUUUGCAGAAUCAAUAGCAAAGUGAACCUAGUGGGCACGUUUUCUCCGAACAUUUCCACAAAAUUUGGAAUUAGUUCCCCUUACAAAUAGGAACGAGGGUUUUCCCCCUUAUGAGAAGAUGUUCUUGACCUGGGAGUUUAGAAGGGAGUAAGGGCCCGUUUGGUUCGGCUUUGGGGGAAUGUCAUUUGGAGAAUGCAAAUAUCUUUGAGAGAAAGAGGCUUUCGGAAAUGUUAGACCGUUUGGUAAAUUUUAGCAUUGAAAUGCAACUUGGCAUAAAUACCGUUUGGCAAACUUUGCAUUUGGAAUUAGCUUUUGGUAUUUUUUAAUUUCUUUAAAAUCUGAAAUCAAAUUCCCGGCGGCCGGCCACUGCCGACCAACCGCCGGCGACCGCCGGACGGCCAGAUCUGGGCCGUCGCCGGACCACCAGAUCUGGCCGCCGGAGGUCGCGGAGGCCAGAUCUGGCCUCGCCUGGUCGCCUGGCUCGCGCGAGACUAGGCGACCGAAUUUGGUCGGGUGCUCCGAGCACUGCUCAGCCCGUUGCGUGGGUCGCGCAACCCAGGCGACGCCGCCUGAGGCCGCGACCCACGCGACGACGGUGCGUGGCGACGGCAGUGCAUGGCGACGGCAGUGCGUGGGCGACCAGCUCCAGCUAGUUGAGCUCCGCCGGCUAAAGCUUCAAUCUUGAAGAAACAAUGAAGACGAGGAAGACGAUGAACAGUUAUUUUUUAGGGUAAAAGAAGAAAACUAAAUUAUCAAUGAGGGCAAAAGUGGAAGAAAAAAAAAAUCAUUAAACCCCCUUCAACAUGCCGAAAAUGCUGAAUGCCCAAAGCAGGUCCCCACCUGCUUUGGGCUUUCAGCAUUCCAGAGUAUUUUAAAUGCUAGCAUUCCCCCAAAUAUACUCCCAAAUGCUGAACCAAACGGCUGAAAUUUUUCCCAAGGGGCUUUUGGGGCUGAAAGCCCCUUGGGAAUGCUGAACCAAACAGCCCCUAAGAGCCACUUAAAAGCUGUCGUAGUUUUGGAGAUGGUAUCAAACGACCUCUCAAAAAAGUAAUCCCAGUAUGCCAAACAUUAAUUAUUUUGACCUUUUACAAAAUCGUUCAUAUAUUUUUAGACAGUCAUUAAAUAAAUCGGUUUUAUAGCAAUUUCUACAAAAGCCAAUUUGUUAAUUCAAACAAUCCAAGAAAAGAACAAUAGAAGGAGAUUGCCAAUGCCAUUGGGAGGCAACUUGGCAAAGCGAGCACUUUUGUGAGGUAUAAUAAGUCAGAGUUUAACAUCAUAUGGAUCAAAGUCUUUGAUCGCGAAUAAAGAAAUGGCAAAACCACAAUCACAAAACUGAGGGUAGUUGGUAUAAUCGAAAUUUCAUUAAAAACUACUGUCGGUAUAUAAACUUGUUAUUUUAUUCCAAAGACAAAAAUUAUAAAUAUAUUACCAAAGCAGAACAACAUAUAGAAGAACUGAAGUUGAGAUCUAGACUUCUUAAAUUUUGGGGAGAAAAAGUUUCUACAAUAAGUUUUUAGGUACUGCUUUCAAGAAUGCUUUAGUAAGAUUGGCGGAACUGUAACAACUAAACUGAGAAUGGUCUUUCUUUAAUUUUCAGCGUCUGGCCGAGUAUAUGCAUCUACAAUGUCAAUAAGUGCCGGACACCGAAACUCAAUUGAAGAGGAGGACUGGGGAAAGUCGGGGAGUUGCACCAUCCACAACCCCUCCAAGUAUAGAGGUUCUGCAGAACACUGGGCAGUGAAAUACCACCCUCAGGCCUCCCUUGCGUCCGCAGAUGCUGCUAACAGUACUUUUCCUUCCUACUUAUGACGAAUGUCGAUAAAAUGAAAAAACAAUUAACUACAUUCAUGCCAUUCUUGUUUACUUAUCAAGCAUAUGCACACGAAGUGACACCUGCUUAUUUCCGUCUUCGGCUGGGCUUCGUGCUCUUUCUGGUUGGAAAUGAUUACUCCAAACGCACGGGUAAUAGGGUUCCUCCUUUGACGCCAUCUUUAUCAGUCAUCUUACCGAAUGUUUUCUGGUAUCCAAUAAACACCUCAAAUUCUUUGAUCCGUUAAAGAUGACAAGGAACAUAUUGCUGUCAACACACGUUACAUACACAUACACGCGGUUGGCAAUAUUAUGAAAACCAUAUGAAGGAAUAAAGUUUUGAGGUUCAGAAAAUGUACCCGUUUAUCCACAUUUAGUAUUUUUUUCAUUCUUCGACUUUAGUGACAAAAUUAUCCUGCACAUGUGAAGAAAUCGUAUGUGUGCUUCAUUCAUGUCAAAUCAGAUGGGAGGACUAAGUUCUCCGGACAGCUUUAAAUUGACUAAACUCGUCUACAAGUUGCAUCAAAUACAAUCCAUAACUAUGCUUAUCUAGGAAGAUUAGCCCACAUGACUCGAAUGAAGAUGAACAAGAUGAGUAUACUUUAAAAUGCUGCAUAAUUAUUCUCUACCUUGUAUGCAUAUUAAGGAACUCAAAAGGCAUCUAAACCCACAUCGCUUAAUCUGUGAAGCUCGAAUAAGGGUUAUGUCGACCAAGAGCAUAUUCUUUUCCUUUUAUUUUCUAUGUUCUCGAAGUUGGAAAUUUCAACACUACACAUCAUGAACAACCAAUGAACUGUUAUUGGAAUUAGUAAAUUUUUAAUGUUGCAAUUAAAUUUUAGUCGCAAACCAUCACAGAAUUAUUUGCAAAAUUUUCUAGUGUGCAAAAUUGUACUUUGAACUCGAACAAUGACUGUGGAGUUUUGAACAUUAACUUUCUGCCGAUAAAGUUAAACCUCUAAGGCAAUAGCACUAAAACAUCAAAAGGGAAACAAAAUCACAGAUGAAACAUACAUUAACAAAGGAACCAAAUAAGAGAGAGGUCGUCCCGUCUCGCCACUUCUUUGAAACUUCUUCAAAAAAAAAUUCCCAAUAACUACCUACUUCAUCUUCUUGCCACGUCCUCUAACCAAUAUUAACUCAAACUUGGUCAUUUCCCUCCAAAGUAUGGUGAAAAGCAGGCAUAUUAUCUAUUCAAUAAAUUCUCACACAACAUAAAAUGACUUUUCCUUGCACCUUUAAUGAUGUGUCAUAAGUCAUUUAUAAUCACAAUUCAGAUAUUUGCAUUGGGUGUUGUAGUUUCUCUAUCCUCUUCCAACUACUUUCACCCUUUUUACCUCAAUUUGUGACACCAUCUAAAAGUUCAAACUAUUGAACUCUUCCUCUUCACAUUACCAUCCUCACUUUUUUCUCAUCUUCUCAAAUGUUAUUCCGACCUUCCCUCUCAUGACCGACCGACCUAACUUAAAUGAAUUAUGACCAGCAUUGACUUGGGCCAUUAGGUCCAGCAUGAUAGAACUCAAGCGGGCCGACCCUAACCCGAAUCUCUCUUCAACUGAAAUUCACAUGCCACAUGGCACGCUUCCAUUAGUUAAAAUCCUCGUUGUCUACAAUAGAACAAAUGACGCCCAAUGGUCUAAUCAAUUUUCGUGAAAACUGUGUGGGAGCACAAAACUCUAGUUUAAAAAUUUUUAAAAAAAAAAAACAAAGCUAUUCUACCACCGGCCAAUCAUUACAUGUUCCGACUCCUUCGCUGGUCGCGCCGUCGACCAUCAAUCUCAGGAGGAUCACGUUUGUUCAUUUCAUCGAGAGCACCAUUCCAGAACUAUUUUAAAUAUUAAAAAAAAAAAAAUGGAGCAAGGAAAAUUCAUCUCGAAAAGGCGAUUCCGUUCGAUUCAGUUGGCGAUUUCAAGCGUUCUGAAUUGAUCCCAGUGGCGGUCGCCCGCGUCAACAGCCUCUUCAAUGCCGCGACUCAUCUCCUUCGUUUCCCUUCCGCGGCCGAGAGCUUCGAAAUGUUGUCGUUCCGCUCGAAGCUUCUCCACCUGUUCAGGUUUCGAUCAUCGACACGUUCCAUAGCUUCUUUCAGUGAUUCGUGCGCCAAACCGCGGCCUCAGUCCGCUUGAUUAACCGGGUAGCAUCUCCUGUUCUGUCGUCACAAGUAAGAGGCCGAGAGUCCGAUUCUCUUAUUAUGAUGAAAUUGAUCAUAGCUGACUUUUUUUUCAUUGACUUCGAACAUCAUGUACUGAUUUAGGUUGAGUCUAGUUACAAAUUUGGGUUCGAAAUGGCUUUGAUCUGUUCCACAACCGAUUCACCAUAACCUGUUCGGUGAAAUGUGUCUGAGACCUUGGUGUGAAUUGAUUCCAGUAAUCUUCCGAUUUGAAAGCACAUUAGUGAUGUUCACUUGAUAUUGUUUGAUUUUUUAAUCUUUAGACAUGAUUACGAGUAUACACCAAUAGUUGCCAAGGAUGAAACUGACUCUCCGUUUGUUUCCUCGGUGGUUCCUGUGAUCUUUUGGUGAUUGGUGGUGGUUGGCGAGACGAGAAGGCUUGGAGUCACUGGCACACGCGUGAUCUUUGGUGAUGAUCAUAGUACACCCUGUUGAACAGAAUUCAGAUGACGUCGCUGAGCAUGAAUCGCGAUCACGCCAAUUCAGAUCACUAACUUUGGCCGACACAUGUUUCGGUCACUAACUGGAGCAAUGUUAUGGCUACUUGCUAGCCUUAUCGUUGCUGCUGAGUUGCCUCACAAUUUCCUCAACCGCCGAGCUUUGCUUCUGUCCAUGCCUUGCAGUCCAUCGUUGCCAUUGUAAUUGCUGUGGUAAACCUACCUUGCCAUACCGCCAUGCGUUACCGAUAUGGAUUGACGUACCGAUAGAGCUAUAUCCACUGCGUUUUGUUAAAAACUGGAUCACCUCAUACCACCGGCUUGUUUCUGGUCCAACUGAUUUUUAGAGUUGACUGUAUAUUCUGAUUUCCUUCACUCCUUUGUUUUUUAUGUUCAGGAUUUUGCGCAUCUUCUUAAACCGAAUCAUGGGAAAGCUAAGCGGUUCGAAGUCCAGUCAUCAUGGGGUCAAUACUUUGUCACAAAAUCAUCGCAGAUUGCCUGCUUUGCCAUUCCUGUCUUGUCCUUUGAUUAUUGAUUACUCCACCUUCGUCAAUUUCAUUGUCCAGAAGCAGGUGCUAAAUCUGAGAACACCCACUAAAAUGAUAUUUUAUGUCUGUCGUCUAUUUCCUGCUUUAUUCUCUGUGGAUGACAUAUUCUACUUCACACGUGCUGUCGAGGGAGAUCAUGGUCCACAAUCAAUAUGAAGUGAGCAAGUUGUAUUUACUCUCUGUCAUUAGUUGAUAAGCUUUUGGGUAUGACAAUCAAGGAAUGAAACCAGUUAGUAGCUUGCUCAGAAUUAGUAAAUGAGGAUUUAUUUCUUUCUUAGAAGUGUCAAUGCCAUCGCUUUGUCUCUGAUUGUGGAAAGAGUUUAUUGUUCUUUUUGAACUUGCAUAAAAAUCGAUGGAAUGCUUAUGAAGCAGUGAGAUACCCGGAAUUUACAAGUUUUAUGAAUUGGUGUGUCCUGUUGUUGCAUAUGCUGUAGUUUAGCGGUUAUUGUUCAUCUAUGUUUGCUGAACCGUUUGAUUUAUCACUUUCAAUUAACAAGAUUUUGAUAAAGACACGUGACAAUUGUGAGAGAUGCACUGAAACUGGCACUUUGGUGAUGACAGUGCUCCUUCGUGUUGGAGCACUGUCAUUUAUGAUGUUGGAGAAGUGAAUAUGUGUUGAAGGUGCCAACCCCUCGUGAUCUUGGACCCACUCGUUGAAGAAAUGGAGAGGUAUAAACGUAAUCACUUUCCUUCUCUUCGCAACAAUUCUGCCAUUCCCAUAGAAGUUCCAAGAGUACAAUGAGGUCACUUAAAAAUAAUAAAACAGAAAAUGGAGAAACAUUUUGAAUCGGAAGUAGAUAAACUAGUGUUCUAUUAUGGUUUUCUCCUAAAAUAUGUGGUGCUUAGAACCAUUGAGAGAGAGAGAGAGCUUUUCGGAGUAAUGCUUACAACCGUGGCUGAUCAGUCAAAUAGCACAUUGGACAAUGUACAAGACUAUGUUAAGCAGGGAGAAUUAAGAUAGGUAUCCGCGUGCUUUAUUUUCUUUGCGCUUCCAGCUGAGUUGAAGCUAGAUAUAGGUGGCAUGCAUCUAUGAAAAAGUAUAUCUACAGUGCCAGAGUAAACGAGGUAAGUCUGAUAAUUGUAAUGGAGGUAAUAUACAUUUUGCAGCCCCAGUAAUGGACAUGUGACUUUGGCCAACAAAAUGAACAUACGAAGCACAAAACCAGAAACAAAAUCUUUCAUUGUCACCUGUCAGCACCGGUAAAAGCAUCACGCACCUGCAAACUUCAAACAUCUCACUUGACUGAGUCCAAACUCCAAAUCUUUGCAUGGAAAGUAGAAUUGGAUAACAAAAAUGUUCACAGCAUACAAAUAAGAGGGCGCAUGAAGCUAUUGCUUCAAUUUUGCUGCUGAAGAGCGCCCCACUAUUUUCGGAAUCCUCACUGCAACUGCAACUACCACAAUUUCCUUGAAGUGAUUCACAGUAUGAAUUCAUCUCCCAAAGUUUUCCGUCAAAAUUUGAUUCAUUAAGUCGAUGAAUGUAAGUGUCCCCAACGUAGUCCCAAAUUUGCUGCGUUCUUAAAUCUAGAGAAUAGCAAUAUUGUGUAUUUUUCCAACGGCUGAUCGCGUGCUUAUCUUUGCAUCUACAAACCCAAAAAGGAAAAGCUGUAACAAGACAGCCUACCAAACACUAAAAUAUAGACCGAUCAUCAUACACCUUCCACAUCUUCCAAAACCACAUAUCAGACAAACCCAAAGAUAGAGCAAAUUGAGAUGGAGCAGAACGAAAAUAUUCUUCAGGGUUAGUUCACAGAUGGGCAUCCCUGAUGAUGUUGCAAUAUGGAGCCACAUAUGCGAUAAUGUUUAAUUCUCGCAAUCUAAUCAAGUAUGUGCCAUACUUAAAAUCUAUAGCAAUGUAAUUGAACCUUGCAAUAAAAUCAAAGGAAGACCCUUGGCACAUCACUAGCAUUGGAGAAUAUCAUAUUGACUUAUUUUAAACAUAAAGAUUGACGAAUCAAGGAAAGGUAAGUAAGCAUAUGUCCAUUGAUGGAUAAUCCUAUGUGACACUUUUUCAUCUUUUGAUAUAUACUCGAGUUCAAAGUUACUUCUUUGCUACAAAUUUACAUGGAUGGAGCAUUAUCACAAUCAGUGGAAUAUAACUUGAAAUGUGAAAAAUGACCAAGCGCCAUCUUAUCUAACAGCUAGAAGUUUGAGAUCAAAGAUCAGCACUUUGACAUCAUUAUGAUCACCUAUGUCAACAAUGAAUACUUAAGUUCAACACAUAAACUCAAUAAUUUAUGAUUUGCCAGUGCUAUUGCGAUCACCCUUGGAUUCACAAUAAAUUGGACACAAUGGUGAUAGGACCAUUAGAUCAAAUAACCAUAAUGAGACACUGCAGUUAUUCUCAUGUCAAGGUAUAAGAAACAUCAAAAAAUAAGUCCAAAAAGCCACACCAUGGACCUAUUCCAAACAUUAGAAAAUGUCAUAAUCAUUUAAAGUGUUGAUAAAACCUCCAUAUAUAUUUUAAAAUUAACAAAACUAUCCAUGUUUGUAUUGAUCUUGGUAAUCGCAAAAAAGGCAUUUGUGUUUUAGGUACUAUCUAUGUCGAAAGGAUUUUUCUUGUCUAAUAAGAAUUAUUAGACAAAGAAUGAAGAGUUGUGGACCUAAGCAGGUCCUUAAAAGGCUCAAGGAGGAAACAAGCGAGAUAACCGCCCUGAGAUGGGAGUUUCUGCACUGUCCUCCGUAUUCCCUCUUUGUCAGGAAGACAAAGAUAGACAAGGAAUUUCGGGGUCUCUCGGUGGGAAAGGUAGACUCCACGUCAGAGCUUGCUUUGGCUACCGCCGGGUAGAGUGGUAUAAUAGCCACCCGUGCUUGGGGUGAGGGAGGGUGGGUGAAAUGCCCACUGCUGUGUUAGCACGCCUUAUGGCACAGUUCCUAACCACCGGCUAACACAGUACCCCGGUAUAUGUGUGAUAUUAGCAAGUGACCUACAUUGAUGCCAGCAAGUCAAAGGCUAGACAUCAACAAGGCAACAUGCUAGAUAUCAGCAAAGUCCCACAAAAGCUAAGUAUAAGCAUGAAAUUGAUUUACAAGAUUAUUCUUUGAGACAUUUUAUCUCAUUUUUAACAACUUGUGAUUAGGUAUGGAUUGCCUCUUAAGGAAACAUUGAUUGUCUAUCUCAUAGAUUGUCUUAGCAAAAGACUCAAUCCUGUAAGAUAUUUUGAUUGAUUGGCAAUCAUCUUCAAAGGCAAGUUUCUUUCCAUAGUAGAAGCAUUCUAUUUUUUAUAACCAAGGUUUAAUUGUAUGGGCGACCAAAUGAAAAAGCCACAUUUCAUAUUCUUCCCUAAAAUAUAUUUUGUUUUAUCUUUCAUAAUAUAAUCAUCAUUACUAUAUGCAUCUUCUUGUUUAUUUCUCAUAACAAAACGCAUAACCAAUACACUAUCGUCCUUAUGAACUACAUUGUCUACCACAUUAACAUGUCUUAUCUUAUUUUUUAUUUAUUACUAUUAUUAUUAUUAUUUUGUAAAUUGAGGUAUUGCAUUAAACAUCUUAACAAACUUUAUUCUAUUUAGGAAACAAAAAGUAACCAUUUGGUUAAGAUAUAUAUUUAUGACAAUGUAAUUGGUCAAGGUUGUGACAUUGUUGUAUAGUCAGUUCAUACUGUCCAAUCACUAAUGACAGCGACCUAUAACGAGUAUUGCUUAUUAAUUUUCUUUUCUAUAUUUUGUUAUUGAUUAAAUAUGCAAGUCUAGUCAGGUGUGCUGGAUCUCAACUUUCAAUAAAAGCUUCAUGUGCACUUGCUCAAAGAUUUAGAUUUAUGGAUUUUAUUGAUCACAUGUUGUUGGACAAUGUCAAUUACAAAAUUUGGAUUAUUUAAGGUUUGUGCCGAGAUGGUGUGGCAUUAACAUAUAUUCCCAAAUGUGAAACCAAGAUGUCAAAAACUCGGGAAGGGCCAGGAGUUUGUGAAAGGAAAAAGAAGGGACCAAAAUUAUCUUGUUUAGGUCGUGAGAUGGAUUUAACGUAAUGUAUAACUCAAUUAGUUGUUGUGUAAAUAAGAUCGUCAUAAUCAUCCAAUUUGCCCAAACAAGGACAAACAAAUCUUAUCAUAUUUACCAUCAAUCGAUUUUUAAUUAUCUUGACAAUCUAAUAUCUAUAUAGUAGAUUCUUCAGAAUUGUUACUAUAUUAAAUGUGCUAAUAUGCUUGUAACUCCAUUCAAACUAGGAUAUGGAGCCUAAUCCGAGUCCCAUCUUUAGUAAAAUUUUCAUGUCUAAUUUUCAAAGGCCAUUAAACAGCAGAAAAGAAGUGGCUCUGCGUAGAGGGUUUGUAUUCUGGUUUUCUAAUAAAUUAGGUAUCUAUUUCAAAAUUAUAUGCCAAAGAGCAUAUCAUUAUCAUUAAAUGCUGCCGUAAUCUACUUUAUUUAUUUAUUUACUAAAAUUAGUUGGUGGAGAAUACGCACCUCCCGCAUAAUGCCGCGUAAAUAAUAAUCCAAGGAGUAAUGUUUUUGUGAUUGACUCGUGUGUAUUUGCACCGGAAUCAUGGGAUUAUUGCUAUGCUGGUUAGUUUUCUUUUCUAUUUCUCGUAUUAACAGAACAGCAAAGUCAAGUCAACAACCACGAGCAUAGGAUUCUUCCACGCACCUCCUGCAAACAGCUGUGGAAAUUACGCGUGCAUUGAUUGACCUGUGGAAAUUGGCUUUGGUGAGAAUUGAUGGUUGGUCUUCAUUUCUAUUUCUUUAUUAGUAGAAAAAACAAGUCAAGUCAAAAAGCGUAGGAAGGUCCCCGCGCCUGCUGCAAAAUGUAGUGGAAAUUACGCGGGCAAUAGUUGCCCAACAGUUGUCUUUUCUAUUUCUCUUAUUGAUACAAAAGGCAAGGCAAGUCGAGUCAAGGUCCUCGCUUUGGAUAAAUAAAAUGUUUAGAAAUAAAAUAUCAUUAACAUUAUAAAUAUUUGUCAUUAAAUUAAUUAUUUUAAUUAAUAUAAAUAAUCAUUCUAAAGGAUAUAAUGAAAUUAUUUUUUAUUAAUUAAUUAUUUUAAAUGAUACAAGUAAACAUAAUAUUUAUCGUUUCAAGAAUUUACUUGUAUUUCUCUAAAAAAUUAAUCAAUAAAAAAUAUUUUCAUUAUCAAUGAUAAUUUAUGUUUAAAUAUUUUCAUAAACAAUUCAUUUAUUUAUUUUAGUAAGUAAUAUAAAUGAUUAUUUUUAAAAAAUAUUUUUUGAAUUAUUUAUAUUUUAUGGAACAAACGCACGCUAAAAGCUCCAAACAAAUGUUAAACUGAUGUGAUGAAGUAUUAAGGUGCCCUAUCAAGGGCCCCAAACGUUAAAUCCUCGAAGUUGCCAUACAGCUUGUACCUAUCAAAGAAACUCAAAAAAAUCUACCCACACUGAUAUGAACAAGACAAACUGGUGGACUAGAGAGAGCCUUGUAAGAUGAACCAAAGAUAAGGAUGGAAUCUUGAACACCCAAUGAAACAAGAGAUACAGAUAUCACAAGAUAAAGCUCAAAAUUCAUUUAUAAUACAUUUUGUGGUGUGUUUAGGCCAUAGACCGAUCAUAUCUUUCAUUCUCAUUGGAUGCGUAGGAAUCCAAUAUCCUAAUAUAUAAUAUAGGUGCGUUUCAAAGGUUGUGGUCUCCGAAUAUGCAAACAUUUUUUUUUUGCUAAUAAGGUGCUAAUUUGUCUUUACCUUAGUGUGAGUGGAAAUCCAUCACUGACCUCACCAGUAUUUUCCAUGAUCUAAUUUCAAAUAGUAGAAGAUUAAUGUGCCAGUUGAGCCUAGAAAUCCUUGCCCAAGAUCGAUCAUGAUUAAAGAAUAGGAAAAUACUACCAACCCCGGGUCUAUAAGGAGAGAAUUUAUCUUUUGUUUUUUCAUUUAUCUUUUUUAGUUUUUGCCGCACUCUUAGUUAAAUAUUCCUUAAUCUUAUGCAAUUAAAAUAGUUGCGCUCACAUUAAGGACCCAAUUGCACUAUCACUUGAAUUAUUUUCCUAAAAUUAACUAUUUAUAUCAUUUAAAAUAAUUAGCUAAUAAAAAUAUUUUAAUUAUCAAUGAUAAUUUAUAUUUAUAUAUUUUGUAUUUUUUAAAAAGCAAGCAAGACUUUGACUUGACUUGUCGUGCCUUUUCUAUGAACAAGAGAAAUAGAAAAGAAAAUCAAAGGGCAAUUAUUGUCCGCGUAAUUUCCAUUGCAUUUUGCAGAAAGUACCGGGGACCAUCCUCUGCUUCUGGAAUUGAUGUACUUUAUCUACUGAUAAAGGAAAUAGAAAUGAAAACGAACGAGCAAUUCUCCACCAUCUAAUUUCCACAGGGCAAUCAAAUGCACGCGUAAUUUUCACAGCAGUUUGCAGAAGGUGCGUGGAACCAUCCUGUGCUGGUGCUUCUUGACUUCACUAUGCAUUUCUCCGUUAAUAAGAAAGAUAGAAAAGAAAACUAACCAGCAUAGCAAAGCUCCCGUGCUCUCGGCGGUAAUUUAAACGAGUUAAUAAAAACAAAUCACUUGUCGGAUUAUUAUUUCCGUGGUAUUAUGCGGAAGGUACGUACUCUCCGCCAACUAAUUUUAAUAAAUAAAUAAAAAGAAAAUAGAUUGCAAUGGCAUUUAAUGAUGAUGAUAGGGUGCACUGGAAAGGAAAGUCAGAAAUUUUUUCCUUUUUUCUUUUACCAAUCUUUCUUUCAUCUAAAUAAAUUACUAACUCAUUCAUAUAUAUAUUUAGAUGAUGAAGAAACCUUCCGAUUUCCAUUAUUCAUAUUCGGUUCAUUUCCUUUAGAUAUUUUGCCUCCCAAGCAAGUAAAUAUCCAGGAGCUCACUAAUUCCAUCAAUUCUUGCUACACUUCUCGAUCCUCAAAAGAGUCUGAACCAAUGUUUAUCAUUUGUCUAGAAGUUUGAUCCUCAAAAGAGUCUGGACCAAUAUUUAUCAUUUGUCUAGACAACUUAUAUAACAGACAAACUGUUCUCCUCCUAGAUAUCUAGGAUUUCUAAUUUUUUCUUUUCUUUUCCUCGGGGAGGGAUUCACCCAUCGGCCAUGCCCACCAAUUAUUAGAAGCAUCAUUAGGAAAAAAAUAAAUGCGCCCUACUAUGCGACAAAGUUACAUUCCAUAUUCUUCCUUAAAAUAUAUUUUGUUUUAUCUUUCACAAUAUAAUUAUUAUUAAUCCAUUGUUUGUUUUUUUUUUGUAACUAAACACAUAACCGGUACGAUGUCGUUCUCAUAAACUACAAUGUCCAUCAUAUCAUAAUGUCUUGUUAUGUUUUUCUGUUUUUUUAUUUUUAUUUUCGUUUGUAAAUUGAGGUAGUGUAUUGAACAUCAUUUAGUUAUGGUGAUAUAGUUUAAUAGUGUGAUUGGUCAAGGUCCUGAUAUCAUUGUAUAGUUAGUUCGUACUAUUCAAAUGCUAACGAUAGAGACCUGUAACGAGUAGUGCUCGUUAUUUUUUUUUAUAUAUUUUGUUAUUGAUGAAAAAUGCAAGUCCAAUCAAGUGAGCUGGAUCUCAAAUUUCCAUCAGAGCAUCACUUGCACUUGCUCAAAGCUUCAAGUCUAUGGAUUUCAUUGUUUGCACGUUGUUGUAGGAUGUCAAUCGGAAAGUCCGGAUUAAUUAAGGUUUUUAAAGAGAUGGUUCGGCGUUAACAUGUAUUCCCAAAUAUGAACCCAAGAUUCCGCGAACUUGGGUGGGGCCAACUACAAUGUCUUGUGAGUUUGUGAAAAGGAAAAAGAACAUUUUUGAUCAAAAUCAUCUUGUUUAUGUCAUGAAAUGGAUUUAACAUAAUGUAGUAAAUCAAUUAGUUAUUAAUCGUGCUAACAAGAUUGUCAUAAUUUUGUCCAACUUGCCCAAGCAAGGACAAACAAAUUUUCCCGUAUUUACUAUCACUUCAUUUUUAAUUGUCUAGAUAAUAAAAAAGCCAUAAAUUGUAGAUUCUUCACAAUUUUUACUAGAUUAAAUGUGCUAACAUGCUUGUAGCUCCAUCCGAACUCGAACAUAGAGUUUCACCCGAUUCCUCUCUUUAGUAAAAUUUCCACAUCUAAUAUUCAAUCGGCAUUAAACAGUAGGAACGAAGUAGUUAUAUGCACAAAUUUGAUAGUUGUAUUACGAUUUUAUGAUAAAAUAGGUAUAUUCUUCAAAACUAUAUGCCAAUAUGCAUAUCAUCAUCAUUAAACACUACAGCAAUUUACUUUUUUUAACUUUAUUAAAAUUAGUUGGCGGAGAAUACGCACCUUCCACGUGAUGCCGUGAAAAUAAUGAUGCAAUGAGUGAUGUUUUUGUGCUCAUGUAUAGUGGCACCGGCGGCAUGGGAGCAUUCCUAUGCUGGUUAGUUUUCUUUUCUAUUUCUCUUAUUAGUUGGAAAAAAAAGGCAAAGCAAGUGAAGAAGCACCAGUAUUGCAUGGUUCCACGCACUUUCUGCAUAACUGCUGUGGAAAUCACGCGUGCAUUGAUUGCCUUGUGGAAAUUAGAUCGUGGAGAAUUAAUCGUUGGUUUUCAUUUCUAUUUCUUUUAUUAGCAGAAAAAGCAAGUCAAGUCAAGAAGCAGAGGAUGGUCCCUGACACCAUCUGCAAAACGCAGUAGAAAUUACGCGGGCAAUGGUUGCCCUUUGGUUUUCUUUCCUAUUUAUCUUAUUGAUAGUAAAGGCAAGGUAGGUCAAGUAAAAUGUUGACAAUUAGUGGAGGUCACAGCGGCAGGUGAGCAGUCAUAAGCGUCAGGGGGGAAUUAUCCAUCGAGCACGCCCACUAAUUACUAGAAGCACCGUUAGAAAAAAAAGAUACACACUUUACGAUGUGAAGAAGGAAUUGCAUUUCAUUUUCUUUCCCAAAACUUUAAUUUGUUUUAUCAUUGCUAUUUAACCUUUGUUUCGUGCAUACACUUAUUUAUUUCUUAUAUAAGGAUACAUGUAAUUGGUAAAAAUGUCAUCCUCGAGAACUACAAUGUCCACUAUAUUACCAUGUCUCAUUUUUCUUUUUCCAUUUGUACUUUGAGGUGGUAAAUUAAAAAUGUUAACAAAAACAAAUUCUACUCAGGAGUCAAGUCAAGUGUGAUGAAUCUCAAAUUUCGAUCAAAACGUCACACAUUUGGUAGAAAUUUCAAAAUCUAUGGAUUUCAUUAUUUACAUGUUAUGGUAGUAUGUCAAUCGGAAGGUUUGAAUUAUUUAAGAUUUACACAAAAAUAAAUCUAACAUAAGGCGACAACUCAAUUAGUUCUUAAUUAUGCAAAUGUCGUGAUUGUCCAACUUGCCCAAGUAAUAACAAACAAACCUACCCAUAUAUACUAUCAAAUCGUUUUUUUUAAUUUUCUCGAUAAUCUAAUAAUCAUUGGGAUAUAGGGUCUCAUCCGGUUCUUGUAUUUCGUAUGAUGUCUACAUCGUUUCUUCAAUUGACCGUAAACAAUGAUGAAGCGACUCUACACACAUGAAUUUGGUGGUCGUCUUCUGCUUUUCUGAUAAAAUGGGUCCCCCCUUCAUAACUAUACGUCAAUAUGACAUGAUGCUUCCUAUAAAGAAAGAGGGAGGGAGAGAGAGAGAGAGAGCGCAUUAUCGCAAUCUGCACAAUCGGAAUUGAUUGUUGCUUUUCGGUUCUAUUUCUUUAUUCAUAAAAAAAAGUAAGUCAAGUCAAAAAGCACACGUACCUUCGCAUAAUGCUGGUGUGCAAUAAUUAUCCUGUCCGUAGCAUGCGAGACAGAGCAUUAUUGCAAUCUACACAAUCGGAAUUGAUUGUUGCUUUUCGAUGCUAUUUCUUUAUUCACAAAAAAAAAAAGCGAGUCGUACCUUCGCAUAAUGCUGGUGUGCAAUAAUUAUCCUGUCCGCAGCACGAGAGAGAGAGAGCAUUAUCGCAAUCUACGCGAUCGGAAUUGAUUGUUGCUUUCCGAUGCUAUUUCUUUAUUCACAAAAAAAAAAAAGAGAGUCGAGUCAAAAGGUACACGUACCUUUGCAUAAUGCUGGUGUGCAAUAAUUAUCCUGUCCGCAGCACGUGACUUGAGUUGUUGGAUGGCAAGUCAGCAUUAUGUGCUCUUUUGGACGAAUCUCCUUUGAAAUAAAAAGAAGAAGAGCAGAUUUUGGAUUGAAAAUAAUGAAUUGUCCUUAUUCGAAUAUCUAAACAAAGUGUCCUACUGACAUUUAUGUUAUAAUAUGUUUUUGUGAUUGACUCAUGUAUAUUAGUAUUGACAGCAUGGGAGUCUUGCUGGUUAGUUUUCUUUUCUUUUUCUUUUAUUAAUAAUAGUUAAAAAAGCAAGUCAAGUCAAAAAACACUUGCAUAGAAUGGCCCCACGCACCUCUAGGUUCCCGUACCUACCGCGUAAUGCCGGGGGUAUUAUCAAACAGCAUUUUCUUUCAUUUUAAGUACUUAAAAUAGUCUGAAAUUCAGUACUAAAAAAUUUCAGUAAUUAUUUACCAGUUUUAUCUAAACGGGCAUGUACUCGCAGCUUAUUUUUCACAAAUGAAUUAAGUUCAGCAUUGGCUGAAAAAAAAAAACAAGUUGAUGCAAGUUGAAAAUCGAGUUCUAUCGCAUAAGGUUCGACUUGAAAUUACCAAUGCAAUCAUUUACUUUAAGCCAUCAGAGUACAAUGCUUAAUAUAUUUUAGAUCUUAACAGCUUAUUUGGUUUGAUUUCUAGCUUUUUCUUGACAACAAAGCAUAGAUGAAGUAUGUUAAUCCGCAUAUCAACAAAUUCUCCACUAAUGCAAAAUAUCAGCAAGACACAAGUCUCCAAAUACGAAAGAAUUUAUGCUUACAAAUAUGAUGAAUCAACACAAAUUGCGUACUUAGGCUCCAUAUACUAAUUUUUACUUUCUAUUCUCUCGCACCUCUCGUAGUCGAACUUUUGCUUAACAAAAAUUAUUUAAAUGAUUCAAAAUAUGUAGAUACUCUCACGUAGAAAAUUAUACAAUUAUGUUUGUAAUUUAACUUGAAGAAUGUACAUAUUUAAAAUUUUUCAAAUGUAGAACAUCAAUUAUAUUUUUAAGUGCAGCCCAAAUUUUUAUCAAAGGGCCGCAUACCAAAAUUUUCUUUUAUUCUGAAAGAGGUAAUGCACCUGAUUAGUCAUUAGAGAAAAAGGCCAAAGCAUGGAGCCGCCUCAGUUAGCGCUGUCGUCGAGCGUUGCAUAUUCCCCAUCUCCUUUUUCAGAAGCCAAAAGAAAUCGCCCCGAACGUCAAACCCGCCCACUCGCCUCGGUCAGGGAGAGCACGUGAACUCGCUCGGACCGCGCGCCACGUGAGCUCGAGGGGGCAAUUCGGUACAUUCCGAGUGGCCGAAGAUAUUCCUGAGAUGCGAGGUGGGGACCACGCGUUGGCUUCGGUUUCUGAGCAGCUGACCGUCGUAGCGGUCGAGCAACGCGGAGAGGAGGAGCGGCGUGGGUCCGUGUGAAGAGACAACCUAAGCAGAAUCCACGAGGUAAAUUUCUACUCAUUUUUCGUGGAUACAAGUCUUCGUCUAGUUGCUUUAGGGUUUCCACCAUUACUUAAGGCCUCAGCUUGCAUAGCAGAGUUUAUUCUUACCGAUCUAGCAAAUUCAUCCAUCAAAUUUCCAUAAUUGUUUCGGCAAACACAACUUAUUGCUCCGAUCGUCAUUCCGGGCAAAAAAGUUCUAUUUAUAUUGAUUUUGAGGGUGUCUUCGCUUGGGCCAAACUAGAUCUGAGGUGAGGCUUCUUCGCCUUUUCCCAACUGUUGAAGCACUAAUUUUUCGCCAUGGUUGAGCUUAUAAGGUGCUUCGGAUUUGGCUUUAGUUUGCGGAAAACAAAGUAAUUUCUUUCUUUCCAAAUACGCCAGAGGAUAGAUGCAAGGAGGUCGAAACAUGCAGAGGAUGAUUGAAUUUAAGUAACCAUUCAUCUAUUCGACCAAGUCUAUAAGGUGAGAUCUUAAUUUGUAGUGCAGGAUCCAUCCAAAUUUGAUUCGUGCAAGGGCAAAGUAAGAAGAGGUGCUCUACCGUUUCUGGGUUCUGUUUACAUAAAUCGCAGGUACUUUCUUCCACUAUACCUCUCUUUUGUCGAUUUUCUUUUGUCGGCAAUGCGUUUUGACAUAGUCCCCAUAAGAAAAAUUUGAUUUUCGGGCUUGUCUUAGCCUUCCAGAUCUUUAUCCAAAGAGAUCUAGGGAUUUGGUGAGAGGUAGAGGCUGUGGUGUUAUUGUUCUAUUCUUCCUUCUCUUUGAUUCUAUUAUACCCACUUUUAAGAGUAUAGUCUUGUGCUUUUGUUUGUCCAGCAUAAUUUAUCCUCCUUUGCCUGGGAAUCAAUGGGAUUGUUAGAAUUUCAUUAGCUGUGUGCUCAUCGAACAAGGUCCCAAUAAAUUGUCCAUUCCAAGCUGGGAUAUCUCUGUGAAUAAGCUGGUUCAUCCCUGUUUGCGGGUCUUCCUAUAACUCCUUUGGGAAGCCAUUUUGUCUCUCUGAUAUUAAUCUUUUCCCCAUUCCCUGCUAUCCAUUUUACUGAAGGAAGAAUCUCGUCUUUGCUCAUUAGAAGAUUUUGCCAGAACCAUGAAAGUCGAUACCCCUUUGCAGUUGACCAAAAUUCAGAAUGAGGGAAUUAUAGACUUUUAGUAAUUGGCACCACAGUGAUGAAGGAUUUUGCAUCAUACGCCAUGCUUGUUUACCGAGCAUGGCUUUGUUGAAGGCAAUUAAAUUUCGAAAUCCCAAACCUCCAUUGUCUUUCCUAUGCUUAAGAAUGUGCCACUUCUUCUAGUGUAUUCCAGAUUUUUGUUCAGCAGUAUUCCAUAAAAGGGUCUCGAACGGUUGGACGGCAAUAACUCAGCAUCGUUCAAGCAAGCACGGGAGAGUGUUGAGCGUAGUUUAUCCAAGGUUGAAGGCUGAGAACCGGCAGAGAUCACAGUAGUAGGUGAAUUGUGUUGUUUGAGCACCCUUCAGGUAAUCGAUUGCUCCAUUUUCUUUUGAUGAGUUUCGAUUUGAGUUCUUGGAGACAUUUUUGCAUUCCGAGAUCUGGACUGUGAAAUCUAGACUUUUUUUCUUCAAGGCUCUGCUCGAUCGAUGUCCUAUUCGGUCAAUUAGACUUCAUUUCUGUUUGAAUUUAGCUACGAAAUGAGCUGUGACAGACAUUUCAGCAAUUCCCGAAUCUGGGAUUCCGUAUUUCUCUUUGCUUUCUGCUUUUCUUCGGGGCUGUGCUCCAUCAAUCUCUUCCAUUCCCUUUAUAGGUGAUUACAAAGGCGGAGCCUAAAAGAUUCGAUAUGUGGGGACAUUCAGAAGAUCCGAAUUGCGGGGCUUCUUCCUCAUCGACUUCUCCAACUGUAGGUGAUUAUGAAGGCAGAACCAAAAAGACGAAAAGAAACGACUACGAAGUGUUCUUGAGCUUUAGAGGGAAGGAUACUCGCAAUGGCUUCACCGAUUAUCUCUAUACUAGUCUUGUUGAUGCAGGAAUUCAUGUGUUCAGAGACGACAAUGAGCUUUGUGUUGGUGAGGUGAUUGGACCGGAACUUUUUCGCAGUAUUACACAAUCUAAGAUCUCCAUCCCGAUUAUCUCAGAGGACUAUGCAUCCAGCAAAUGGUGCCUUCGCGAGUUGGCUCUUAUGUUGAAUUGCAAGAGAAACAAAGGGCAAAUGGUGUUACCCAUAUUUUACAAAGUGGAACCUUGGCAAGUGAAGCAUCUCACAGGGAGAUUUGGAGAUGCUAUCGAUACACAUAAAAAGAAUUUGGAAGAAAAGAUUGUGAAGGAAUGGGAAGAAGCACUCAAAGAAGUCACUUCCUUGAAAGGAUUGGAAUCGGAGAAAAUUGAUAAUGGGUACAUUAUUCACCACCACAACAUUGUUUACUUUCUCAUAACUAGAUCUUACUUGAAAAAUAAUACAAAUAUUUCCAUUUUAUUGAAAUUUUUAUUGUUGUUCGACAGGCGUGAAGGAACAUUGGUUAAAAUAGUUGUCAGAAAAGUUAUGAGUAACUUAAAGGAAUUGUUUUUGCUAAAUGUUCCCAAACAGUUGGUGGGAAUUGAUGAUCAUGUGGAGCAUAUUAUGUGCUUCAUAAAUGCUAAAUUUAGUGAUACAAGUGUUAUUGGAAUCUAUGGAAUGGGCGGCAUCGGUAAGACAACCCUUGCGAAGGUGUUGUACAACAAGCUUUUGAGUCAUUAUGAGUCUCAUAGCUUUGUGGCAGAUAUCCGAGAAAAAAUAAAGCUCAAGGGUUUUGAAUGCAUACAAAAGCAGCUCAUUUAUGACAUAAGUGGAGGCUUACGUGAUGUGUCUAAUGUCGAUCACGGAAUCAAUAUCCUUAAAUCUCGAUGUAUAAAUAAGAAAGUACUCAUUCUUCUUGAUGACAUGGAUGAUAAUACUCCCUUGAAUGCUUUGGUCGAAGACGGUAGUUGGUUUAAAGCUGGAAGCAUGGUCAUCAUCACCACUAGAGAUAAGAGUAUUCUUGACAAGGUUGGGGUAAGAUACAAGUAUCAACUCAACGAGUUGCUUUCAGAUCAAUCAUUGGUUUUAUUUAGCAGACAUGCAUUUCGAACGGAUUCUCCUCCAAGUGAUUAUUGGGUUAUCUCUCGUGAUAUUGUAUCUACUACUGGGGGGCUUCCUUUAGCUCUUGAAGUUAUUGGUUCAUUCUUAUGUGGAAAGACAAAAGAAGUAUGGAAAGCUACAUCAAAAAAAUUAGAGAAAGUGCCUAAUAAGAAAGUGCAAGAGAAGUUGAGAAUAAGUUACGACGCAUUAGAGUAUGAGGAGCAACAGAUUUUUUUGGAUAUAGCAUGUAUUUUUAGUGGACUUUGUACAGAAGAUCUGACUUAUAUGUGGGAUGCGUGUGGUUUUUUUCCGGAGAAGGGGAUUGAAGUAUUGAGUCUUAUGUCCCUAAUUAAAAUUGAUGGAGAUGGCAUUCUAAUGAUGCAUGAUCAGCUGAGAGAUUUUGGAAGGGAAAUUGUUCGCCAAGAGAAUCAAAGGGAACCUCAAAACCGUAGCAGAUUAUGGAAUACUAAGGAAGCCGCAGAUGUGAUUUACAAUAACAAGGUAAGAUUUUAUCUACAUCUCUCAGUUAGUGAAUGUGAGCCCAUCUUCUCUUUUAUGUUUUGAGAUAAAAAAUUAUUGGCAAUCUGGAGCCCCUAAAACUUCUUCUACUAGCAAAAGAGCUCUUCCGGUUAAUUGCUUAUGUUGUUUUUGCCUGACUCUUUUGAACAUAAUUGAGGACCAAUUUCUUGGUUGUUGAUGAAUUAUAUAUACCUCUAUCUCGUAGUAUUGUGAUGAGGACCCUCUCCUUUGUAACUUCAAUGCAACUAAAAAAUUACAAAAGCAUAAUAUUUGACAGAGCAUUUUCAAAGAAAAGCUGAUUUUCUAUAAAUUGUUGGCGGCCAUGCUUUUCCCACGUACAUGUUUAAUGCACAUCCAUGAUGUUUGGAUUUUUUCUUUGAUUUCUUGUGAGGUCUUUGCAUCCUUUUUAUCUUUUACUGAGUAUUGAGUUUCUUAUGGGUUGUUUGCUAUGAUAAAUGAGACUUCCAUUCAUUUAUGGUGACUAGCUAUCUUAGUCCCGUAUUUUUUAGAAUUGGGUUAAGUAUAGUUUUCGUCUCCUAGAUAUUACUAUUUAUGUGAUUUAGUCCCCUAUCUAUUUUUUUUUAUUAUAAAUAUUAUAGUCUUUUGUCUUUCGCAAUUUAUGUAAUCAUGUUCUUUGUCUUCAACCAUUAGUCACCACCAUGAUAUGACUUUCAUAUUUAUUUAAGAUAUAUGCGCAACCUUGCAAUGUAACCCUCUAAACAAAUAUUAUUUUCGUUCCAUAGACUUUCUAUAACAGUGCAUAUAUUUUUUCUAUGAAUUUGCUACUAUUAUAUUUUAAUUUUCUGACAAUGUAUAAUAUUUCUAUUAAUCCCCUAAUAACAUUUAUUUGUCAAAUAUUCACUAUCAUCCCCUAAUAAUCACUUCUUCAUAGCUCAACUCUUGGUGAGCAUCUUAUUUAACAAAAAGAUUUACUUAAUUUUAUAUCAUCAUUUGUUAAAUAUGGGCUAGCAUGUGACUUAAUUCUUGUAUCGAUUUUUUAUUUACCAAAUAUUGACUGCCACAGUAUAAUAAAUAUUUCUACAUCGUUCAACUCUUAGCAAGCAGUUAAUUUAGCACAUAUUUAAUACAUUUCUAUCAUUUAAUUGUUAAAUGUGAGCUGUCAUGUUAUAAUUUUUUUUUGGACGUUAUUAUAAUUUACUUAUAAAAUAUGACAAAAUAUUUUCUUCUUUUUUGGUAAGGAUAUGACAAAAUAUUUUCUCAUAAUGAGUAUUGCUAAAACUUUUAAUCAUAACAGCCAUCACUUAUUAUACAUCUCGUUAUACUUAUUAUUGAAGUUUAUGUUGUCAUGUAAUAAAGUCCUCUUAACAUAUAUUAUUUUUUCUUCUAUGAUGGACAAUUUUAUUAAUUCAUCUACCUGUAAAGCAUGUUUAUUUUUUUAUUGGUGAUGAUGGUUACUUUUUUAGUCAUAAUGGGACACCUUUGCAAUCACAAUAGUUGUCACUAGUAACAUUUGAAAAUAGUUUUAGAUGGAAGUAAUAGAGCCAUAAGUUUCUGCUGCGCACUCUAGUCUCAGUAUCUCGAUUUUCUCUAUUAGUCUUAAACUUGACCAAUCUGCAAAAAUUAAAGGUGGUCAGCGACUUACACUCAUCCAUCAUAUACGAAUGAAAUGCUAUAUCGCUCUGAUCCAUUUCUCUCUAGCUCUUCCCAUUUCAUGUGUCUUGAUUGGUUUAAGGAAUGAGUUGGAUACAUGUCAAAUGAUUGAUGAAAUAAUUGGUAACUAAGCAAAAGCACCCCGCAAACAUACUCAUGCAACUCACCAUCUCACAUUCUUCUUUUGAUCAAUGCAUAUUUUUUCUUUUUUCUCUUUUUUAAAAGCUCAUCCACAAAGGUAGUCUAUUCAUAUUGAGUUAAUUACGUAUUCACAUUCUACUUAAUCCUCCAAAAUACGAGAAAUUACAUUACAGUAGACUUCUACUGCUAUUACGAUCUUCGACACUUGAUAAAUAGAGAAUCUAAAUAAUAUUUUCUUGCAUUUAUAAAGAGGACACUAUACAAAGAAGUUAUCACCAAAAAAGAAAAACAGAAGAAGAAGAAGAAGCAAGAGAUGUUGCAUAAAGAAGUAUGUGUUAUUAAGAAAUAAAAAUAAGGAAGUGGAAAGACAAAUGGAAGUAACGAAGGAAUGUUAAUAAAUAGUUAAAUUAUUUGUCGAAAGGGACGAUCUGGAAGUUCUUUCAAUUUUAGGAAUAAAUGUGAGAAGGUCAUUCCUGGCGGAUGCGAAAUGGAAAACAUUCUAUAUUUUACCAAUAAAGAUUACACAUGAGUCGCAUGUGAAUAGAGGCAUUUCUCCUUUGUUUUAGGUUGCUAGAGGAUUGUUGAGUUAUGACUAAUGACAUAGCUCCAAGGAUUUCUGAUAUGAAUUUCAUCUUUAGCAAAAAAAGGAAAUUGUGUAGCAGAAUUUUAGUGUACGCGUGAAGUUGAGUUUCAAUAUGGUUGGAGAUACUUGUUCAAAAAAUUCUAAACCUAAUAUAACGGCUAAUUCAUUUUCAAACUUUUAAAUACGAUUAAGGCCACUAUUUUUUUCCUCAAUGCAAUCCUUUAUCUUUCACAAUUUGGGCAAUCGAGCCCUUUGUUGUCAAGUGUUAGUUAACACCGUCAAUUUGCCAUGUGGCUUUUAAAAUUAUUUAUGAUGUGUAAAUAUUAUUUUCGUCCUAUAGGCUUUUCGUGGUGGUAGUUUGUCACAUUAUUUUCGUCCUGUAGACUUUUCGUGGUAGUAAUUCGCUUGUGACAAUGGAUAAUUUUUCUAUUAAUCCCAUUUCUUUGGCAAAUAUAUGCUGGCAUGAUUUAGUUGAUGAUUAUAUCAUUAUUUGUUAAAUAUGUACUAUCGUGGUGAAUAAGUUUUUUAUCCAUUUUUGGGAAAAUUAUCUAGAGAGUCUUAAACUUAUUGUAUUUUUACCAAUUCAGUUAUAAACUUUUCAAUUUUGUCAAUUCAGUUCUAAACCUUUUCACUUCUUGCUAAUUAAGCCUGUCUAGUUAAUUUUGGCUGAAAAUUGCUAACGUGGCCGGUUGGUGCUAAUAUUUUUUUUUUGUUACUUUUUUUUCUUGGUUUGUAGUUAGGGCCGGUAAGGGUUACUGGCCAACCCUUGCCGGCUUGAUUGAUCCUCGUUGGCCCUGGGGGAGGGCUGUGACGCCCUCAUCGACAAAAGCGAGGGCUCAAGCCCUCACUGGAUUUGGCCAAGCAAGGGUGGUGACCUUGCUCGGGUGCUUGGGGCCCUCGCCUGGCCAAAUCUAGCAAGGGCAUCGCGGCCCUCGCCCACGGCUGACGAGGGUCGGCCGGUAACUGUCACUGGCCCUAACACCAAACCCAAAAUUAAAGAAGAGAAAAGUUAAAAAAAUUCAAAAUUCAAAAUUAAAAAAAAUGGCACAUCAGCAAUUUUCAGCCAAAAUUGGUCAGAUGAACUCAAUUGGGAAGAAAUUAAAAUAUUUAGGAUCAAAUUAAUAAAAUUAAAAGGUUUAUGAAAAAAUAUAAUAGAUUUAAGACUUUUUGAACAAUUUUCCCCCCAUUUUUUAUUUGUCAUAAAUUGAUACCACGUUACAAUGCAUAUUUCAACAUCCUUCAACUCUUAGUAAGCUUUUUAUUUAGCACAUAUUCCGUACAUUUAUAAUAUUAACUUAUUUAAUAUGAGCUAUCAUGUUAUAUUUUAUUUUAUUGAUUUGUUAAUAUGAUUCACUUAUGAAAUAAACGGAAUGUUUCUCAUGUUAAGUAUCUAUAGAACUUUUUAAUCUUGAUAACCAUCACUUGUAUGUAUGUAGUCAUAUAACAGAACACUCUAACAAUAUAUUCUUUUUCCUUCUUUCAUGGACAAUUUUAUUAUAUUCACCUAUUGUAAAGCAUGUUAACUUUAUGUUAUGAUAGAUAUUUCUAGUCACAAUGGCUAUCCACACACCCUUUCAAUCAUAAUAGUUGUAAUUUAUUAUACAUUUCGCUAUACUUGUUAUAGAAUUAUAGUCAGUCAUAUAAUAGAUGCAUGUUUAUGUUUAUGUUUAUGUUCUGAUAGAUAUUUCUAGUCACAAUGGCUAUCCACACACCCUUUCAAUCAUAAUAGUUGUAAUUUAUUAUACAUUUCGCUAUACUUGUUAUAGAAUUAUAGUCAAUCAUAUAAUAGACGCCUCUAGACAUAUACUUGUUUUCUUCUUUGAUGUUUUAUUUUAUUUAUACUAUUUAUAAAGCAUGACAUAUAUAAAUUGUGAUUACGGAUAAUUACAAUUUAAUAUAUGAAUUUUAAACAUUUAAUAAUUAAUUUGUGGUCGAGAUUUAAGCUUAAUCAUAUGGUAUGUGAUCAUACGAACAUAACUAUUUUUUAUUAAAUAAUUAAUAGUACGAUUGACAUAAUAAUUAUAGCACAAUUAAGCAUUAACUAAUAUAAUUAGUAAUUAAGAUGAUCAUUUUAUUAUGAACAUAUAAUAUUAACUUAUGAAAAAUUUAGAUAACCAUAUCUAAUAAGGAGCCACUAACAUUGUGCUAAUUAGUAUAUUAUAAAUAUUUUUUAACCUAAUAACUGAUAAUGAAUAAUCAAGAUAACAUUAUCACUAUUUCAUCAACUAUUUGCCUAUUAAUUAACAUUCUAUUUAUUAAUGAUAUGAUAUGUGAUUAAAGUCAAGAUAAGUAUAAUUGAUGUUAUCAUUACAUAAUUACCACAAAUGAUUUUAGUUAUAAUUAAUAUGUACGUUGAUUAUAGUCAAUAAUAUAAUAUUGAUAGGGUUAGAGAAAAAAAAAAAAGACGUGUAUUUUGGAAAUAGCUACUGUGGCCCUGUAGUAAUAGCUAUUACACAACGGGGUGAUAGUUAUUACAAUUUGGCAACGAUAACUUUCAUUGCUAGUAGAUAUUGUAUACUAUAACAGUCAUUACUGCAACCAUGUGUUGUAAUAAUCUAAACGUACUCUGAUAAUCCAUUGCUAUAAAAUAUAUAUGUAAAUAAAGCGUAUAAAUGUGUAAAACUAAAAGGCACUGGUUAUUUGGUAAUCACAUACUUACAUUCUAAUUAAUCCUAAAAAAUUACGUGACACUAGAUUAUUGUAGAAAAUGCAAAGUCUUAAAUCUUGUGCAUAGCACAAGAAUUCUACUACUAUUAGGAUUUGCAACACUAGAAAAAUAGGGAAUCUAAGACGUAAUAUAAAGAAGUUGUCACCCAGAAAAAAAAAAGCUGCAUAAAGAAGUAUGUGUUAUUAAUAAUAAUAAAAAAGAAGUGGAAAUACAAAUGUAAUUAACUAAAGAAUAUUAGCAUAUAGUUGCAUAAUGUGUCGACGGGGACAUGAUGUGGAAGGUCAUUCAAUUUUAAGUAAAUGGGUGUUGCAUGUGAGAAGAGGCAUUUCUCCAUUUUUCUAGUUAGCCAGAAAAUUUUUUGAGUUAUGAGUAAUGGCAUAGCUCCAAGGACAUAUCUAUUGUGUAUAUAUAUAUAUAUAUAUUUUUUUUUUUUGGCACCCAGAGAAUCUUCGUGCGCCGCUUCGCGGCGGAGUAAACCCUGAAGGAGCAGUAGAGUCAUCAUUACCCUUGCUGCUUCGGGUAAGUCGUGGGUUCCUUUCUCGCAAGGCAAACAAUGCAGCUAAUCGAACUCAUGAUCUCUCUCGAAAGGAACCUGCGCUCAACCAUUACGCCGUCAUCAUGGGUGGUCAUAUCUAUUGUAUUUUGAUCUUUAAAAAAGAAAGAAUUUAUGUGCAAGACAAUUUAUUGUAUAAGUGAAGUUGAGUCUGUUUAAAAUUUCAUGUGGUCAUGCAAUGUAUUUAAAUGUAGAAAGAAGAUGAAUAGCAAAUCACAUAACAUACUAUUUCAAAAUAAAUACCUUCUAAAUUACUAUUAAAAAUACGAAGAAACUGGUCUAUUCAAACUUACCCUAAAAAAAAUGGUGUAUGUUAAUGUAAACAUAAAAGAAGUAAAUAAUAUUUAUUGAUACCACUAAGUGCAAAGAAAGAAAAGAACUAAACAUAAUACAUGAACGCUAGAUAAAGUCAUAUACAAAAUAUGCCACUAAAAAUGCGAAGAGUAUCUGGUCUAAGUAUGUAACUUCCAAGGAAAGCAUCUAUUCAUCAAAAUAUGAAUAUUGUACUAUUUGUUAAAUGUCAUUUUUAGAAGAGAAAUGUCUUUUCAUGCAAUAGUGAAGUCAACGACAUUAAUUGAUGGGUACUUCUAUUUUAUAUUCGAGAAAUUAGAGAAAUGCUAGUAGAAUAACAAACGAACCAUAUAAAUAAUCACCGGAGCCUAACUAAUCAUUAAAAAAUUCGAAAAGUGAUGCAUCUUUAAAUGUAAUACUUUGAAUGGGCACGUUCAUUAAUGAGGGUAUGGAUGGGAGCUCUACUUAUGUAUGUUAUUUAAAAUAAACAUACUAUUUUCAUGAAGUAAAUAAUAUUAGCAAUAUAUUAUUUGGAGAUCCUAUUUUUAUCAUUCAACAAAUUGUGUAUGGUCAAUCAUAAAGACCAUAAAAUAUUAAACUUGGAAGUUAGGUAUUUUAACGAUACAUACAUGACCUUAUUUUUAUAUAGAGAAUUGUCAAAUAUUACAUUUGUAUGAUAACAUAGCUUUACACUUAAUGAUAAUUAGUAAUAAAACUAAGCAACUUCAAAACCAUAUGCUUGCACAUAAGUAAUAUUAACAUAAUAUGAUUAAUCUUCAUGUCCAAUAUGUCUGUUAGCAAGGUCUUGUUAAUCUAUGGGCAAAUUGGUAAAAAAUUAGAUGAUUGCUAUUGCUUUGUAACAAAAUCAACACGAAAUGAACAGAUAGCAUUAAACAUCUAAAGUAAUAAAAAGAGAAAUAAAAAUCAUUUAUAUAACAUUUGAUAUAUGUUUUCUUCCACACGUAAUGAAAAACACUCGUUGAAAAAACAAAUGAUAAGAAAGGAAUGUAAAAUACGUGUACUUCUUGGGAUGGAAUUCUUAUUUUCAUUUUGCUAUUGAGAAUUGCAAACAAGAUACAUAAGAAAAAGAGGGGGAUUCUACAAUUGGGAUUCUUGAGUAUUGAUACAUGUUUUGAUGGCAAGUUUGAUGGAUGUAUUUGAAUUGUAAGAACCAUGUUAUUUCGCAUAUAAAGAAUAUGAAUUAGGGUUUUGUUGUUUCCCAAAUAAAGGGCAUGAGAUUUGAUAGAUAUAUUUGAAGCAGAGUGUGCAUGAAGAGAGACCUUCUAUUGUAAUUUUGAAAGGAUGCAACUUUUGGAAAUUUAAAACGUGCAAAUUGUGAAGGGCAUAAUUGGUAGAGGAAAAUUGGGGGACCCCCUCUUGAGCUUCACAUUUUUAUAUAGAUUAGAUAAGGAAUAUGUAACCACAAUCUAUCAUGUCAUGAAGUCGAAGGUGAGAACCCCACAUCAUUAUAGUACGACAACAUAGUUGAAAUAAUACAUCUUUUCUUGUAUAUAGUUAGUCUCAUCCCAUCAUCCAAUAAUAUGAUCCACAAUGUUUUUCAAUUCUAGGGCACAAGUAAAAUUGAGGCCCUUUGUCUCGACAAAGAUGAUGGGAGAGAAAGCUACACGGUUGAAAACUUUAAACAAUUGACCAGCUUGAGGUUCCUUAAAUUGAGCGGAGUGAACAUCACUGGAGAUUUUCACAACUUUCUUCCUCAAUUAAGAUGGCUUGAAUGGGAUAAUUGUUGCUUGGAUUUUGAAGAGGCUAACUUUCACCCAAAGAAAUUAAUCGUGCUUGACUUGGGGGAUAGUCAGAUUUCGGAGGACUGGGGAGGAUGGGGCCCAAUAAAGGUAAGAUGUAGAGAAGGCAUAUCUUUUAAAAAUAACCAUGUGUUAUCAACGGCCCCAAUUGUACCAAGUUCUCCUUUAUUUCUUCUGAAAAUCCUUUCUCAUAUAAUGAAUUUUCCUCUAAGCAUAAGAGGAAUUUAUAGGCACUUAAAUAUGUUAGAAGCUUUUGCCUCUUAAUAUUUCAACAACUAGUCACGCUUAACAUCAGACUUACUAAUAAAAACUCUUUUAAUUGUAUUAAUUAACAUCUAUCAAAAAUAUAAUUAUAAUAUUGUGCCAAUCUUAACUUUACUUUAAAUUGUGUAUGGUUUCUAGUUAAUUUCUCCCCAUGCAAAAUUAUGUCUUUUUAGCAAUUCUUGUUAUAUGUAUAUAUGGCUCUUCUUUCAUGGAGAGACAAAAACCCUCACAAUGACUUGUGUUUAACAUACAAACUAAAAUUCUAAAUUCAUAGUUACUUUUAGAAUAAUGGAAAUAAUUUGUGAACUAUUUUGACUUGUUGCACACAAUAUUUAUUCAUUAUUAUUGUUGAUUGUUGAAGUCAUCGUACAACACAUUUAUAAAGUAGUAAUGUCAUAUGAGUAAUAAAAUUAUCCUUGAAAUGGCAUUUAAAUAAUUUUAAUGCAACACCUUUUUUAUAUCUUAUACAUAUAGCAUUCAAAAAUUGCUUUUUAUAAUUAAAGUAGCCAUUUCUCUUUGACUUCAUAAUAUUGAAGGAAAACAUAGCACCGAGUGAAUGCAUCUCUUUUCUUCCAUUUGACUUUGUCAUUUGUAAUUUGAUAAUAAAAUUUGCAUAUGUCUAAUUAAUAAAUAACAUCAUUGUCAUAACUAUAAAAAAAUAAAUAUGAUAGUUGCUAUGAAAUUUUAUUUGCAAAUAAUUGUAGUUAGUACUUUNNNNNNNNNNNNNNNNNNNNNNNNNNNNNNNNNNNNNNNNNNNNNNNNNNNNNNNNNNNNNNNNNNNNNNNNNNNNNNNNNNNNNNNNNNNNNNNNNNNNUGAUAUGCUUAAAAACAUUUAUAUACUAGCUUAGUGAAUGCACUACUGAAAAGAAACAUUUAAAAUUAAAUAAGAUAGCUGUAAAGGAGUAGGGAGCACAAGUAUUUUUUUUGGAUCCAAUCUCAAAAUGGUGACUUCUCUUUUCUUUCAGAUGGCAAUGGAGCUCAAAGUUCUUUUCCUUUCGAAAUGUGCUUUGAGAACAACUCCCGACUUAUCUGCUUUCAAUAGCUUGAAGACUUUGUGUCUUUAUGAUUGUCAGGAUCUAGAGGAGAUUCAUCCUUCUAUCGAGGACAUUAAGACCCUCGUCACCUUGACUAUUGAAAAGUGUCAUAAAUUGAAGGGGCUAACGCUAGGAGUAGGUAGAAUGAAAGAAUUGAAGGAGCUAAUCAUAGGUGACACUCAUAUACGAGAAAUUCCUAUUUCAAGAGGUUGUUUGAUAAAGCUGAAGACUUUAGAUGCCUCAUAUUGUAGACAACUUGCUCGACUUCCAGAAUCCUUGGGCUCUUUUAUAUCAUUAACUCAGCUAAAUCUAUCAAACACAGGAAUUAAAGAAUUACCCGAAUCCAUUGGAUCUUUGAAGAAGCUCAAGACUUUAAAUGCAUCUUAUUGUGCAUCGUUAGUCUGUAUACCCAACUCAAUAGGUGAUUUAACAUCUCUAUCUCACCUUAACCUAAUAAAAUGCCAAAAAAUUGCUCAACUUCCAGACUCUAUAGGCUUCCUCGUGUAUCUAUUGUGCUUGUUAUUGUCAGGAUGCCACUCGUUAAGACAAAUCCCAGACUCGAUCGGAAAGUUGACAUCAUUGAUAGAGCUGGAUUUGGAAUCUACCGCCAUUGAAGAAUUACCUGAAUCCAUUGGUUCUUUGAAGGAGCUCAUGACUCUAGAUGCCUCUUAUUGCAAAUCGUUAGCCCACAUACCCAACUCAAUAGGCAAUUUAACAUCUCUGUCUAACCUUGACCUGAAUGAAUGCCAAAAACUUGCUCAACUUCCAGAAUCCAUAGGCUCCCUUGUGUAUCUACAGUGGUUGUUAUUGUCAGGAUGCCACUCGUUAAGACAAAUCCCAGACUCGAUCGGAAAGUUGACAUUAUUGAUAGAGCUGGAUUUGAAAUCUACGGCCAUUGAAGAAUUACCUGGAUCCAUUGGUUCUUUGAAGGAGUCAGACUCUAGAUGCUCUAUUGCAAAUCGUUAGCCCACAUACCCAACUCAAUAGGCAAUUUAACAUCUCUGUCUCACAUUUACCUGAAUGAAUGCCCAAAAACUUGCUCAACUUCCAGAAUCCAUAGGNNNNNNNNNNNNNNNNNNNNNNNNNNNNNNNNNNNNNNNNNNNNNNNNNNNNNNNNNNNNNNNNNNNNNNNNNNNNNNNNNNNNNNNNNNNNNNNNNNNNCACUCAUUGAGACAAAUCCCGGAUUCGAUCGGAAAGUUGACAUCAUUGAUAGAGCUGCAUUUGAAAUCUACGGCCAUUGAAGAAUUACCUGAAUCCUCUGGUUCUUUGAAGGAGCUCCAAGACUCUAGAUGCCUCUUAUGCAAAUCCUUAGCCCACAUACCCCAAACUCAAUAGGCAAUUUAACAUAUCUGUCUCACAUUUACCUGAAAUGAAUGCCAAAAACUUGCUCAACUUCCAGAAUCCAUAGGCUCCCCUUUUGUAUCUACAAUUCUUGGUAUUAUCCGAAUGCCACUCAUUGAGACAAAUCCCGGAUUCGAUCGGAAAGUUGACAUCAUUGAUAGAGCUGCAUUUGAAAUCUACGGCCAUUGAAGAAUUACCUGAAUCCAUUGGUUCUUUGAAGGAGCUCAAGACUCUAGAUGCCUCUUAUUGCAAAUCGUUAGUCCGCAUACCCAACUCAAUAGGCAAUUCAACAUCUCUGUCUCUCCUUGACCUAACGGAAUGCCAAAAACUUGCUCAACUUCCAGACUCUAUAAGCUUCCUCGUGUAUCUACUGUGGUUGUUAUUGUCAGGAUGCCACUCGUUGAGACAGAUCCCAGACUCGAUCGGAAAUUUGACAUCAUUGACAGAGCUGCAUUUGAAAUCUAUGGCCAUUGAAGAAUUACAUGAAUCCAUUAGUUCUUUGAAGGAGCUCAAGACUCUAGAUGCCUCUUAUUGCAAAUCGUUAGCCCACAUACCCAACUCAAUAGGCAAUUUAACAUCUCUGUCUCACAUUUACCUGAAUGAAUGCCAAAAACUUGCUCAACUUCCAGAAUCCAUAGGCUCCCUUGUGUAUCUACAGUGGUUGUCAUUAUCCGAAUGCCACUCAUUGAGACAAAUCCCGGAUUCGAUCGGAAAGUUGACAUCAUUGAUAGAGCUGCAUUUGAAAUCUACGGCUAUUGAAGAAUUGCCUGAAUCCAUUGGUUCUUUGAAGGAGCUCAAGACUCUAGAUGCCUCUUAUUGCAAAUCGUUAGCCCACAUACCCAAUUCAAUAGGCAAUUUAACAUCUCUGUCUUACCUUGACCUGAAUGAAUGCCAUAAACUUGUUCAACUUCCAGACUCUAUAGGCUCCCUCGUGUCCUUGCUGUGGUUGUUAUUAUCGGGAUGCCAUUCGUUGAAACAAAUUCCAGACUCGAUCGGAAAGUUGACAUCAUUGACGGAGCUGAAUUUGAAAUCUACGGCCAUUGAAGAAUUACCUGAAUCCAUUGGUUCUUUGAAGGAGCUCAAGACUCUAGAUGCCUCUUAUUGCAAAUCGUUAGCCCAUAUACCCAACUCAAUAGGCAAUUUAACAUCUCUGUCUCACCUUGACCUGAAUGAAUGCCAAAAACUUGCUCAACUUCCAGAAUCCAUAGGCUCCCUUGUGUAUCUACAGUGGUUGUUAUUGUCAGGAUGCCACUCGUUAAGACAAAUCCCAGACUCGAUCGGAAAGUUGACAUCAUGAUAAAGCUGGAUUUGAAAUCUACGGCCAUUGAAGAAUUACCUGAAUCCAUUGGUUCUUUGAAGGAGCUCAAGACUCUAGAUGCCUCUUAUUGCAAAUCGUUAGCCCACAUACCCAACUCAAUAGGCAAUUUAACAUCUCUGUCUCACCUUGACCUGAAUGAAUGCCAAAAACUUGCUCAACUUCCAGAAUCCAUAGGCUCCCUUGUGUAUCUACAGUGGUUGUUAUUGUCAGGAUGCCACUCGUUAAGACAAAUCCCAGACUCGAUCGGAAAGUUGACAUCAUUGAUAGAGCUGGAUUUGAAAUCUACGGCCAUUGAAGAAUUACCUGAAUCCAUUGGUUCUUUGAAGGAACUCAAGACUCUAGAUGCCUCUUAUUGCAAAUCGUUAGCCCACAUACCCAAUUCAAUAGGCAAUUUAACAUCUCUGUCUUACCUUGACCUGAAUGAAUGCCAUAAACUUGCUCAACUUCCAGACUCUAUAGGCUUCCUCGUGUAUCUACCGCGGUUGUUAUUGUCAGGAUGCCACUCGUUGAGACAAAUCCCAGACUCGAUCGGAAAGUUGACAUCAUUGACAGAGCUGCAUUUGAAAUCUACGACCAUUGAAAAAUUACCUGAAUCUAUUGGUUCUUUGAAGGAGCUCAAGACUCUAGAUGCCUCUUAUUGCAAAUCGUUAGCCCAUAUACCCAACUCAAUAGGCAAUUUAACAUCUUUGUCUUCCCUUGACCUGAAUGAAUGCCAAAAACUUGUUCAACUUCCAGACUCUNNNNNNNNNNNNNNNNNNNNNNNNNNNNNNNNNNNNNNNNNNNNNNNNNNNNNNNNNNNNNNNNNNNNNNNNNNNNNNNNNNNNNNNNNNNNNNNNNNNNNNNNNNNNNNNNNNNNNNNNNNNNNNNNNNNNNNNNNNNNNNNNNNNNNNNNNNNNNNNNNNNNNNNNNNNNNNNNNNNCUUAUUGCAAUCGUUAGCCCACAUACCCACACUCACACAGACAUUUAAACUCUCUGUCUCACCUUGAACAGAAUGAAUGCCAAAAACUUGCUCAACUUCCAGAAUCCAUAGGCUCCCUUGUGUAUCUACAAUGGUUGUCAUUAUCCAAAUGCCACUCAUUGAGACAAAUUCCGAAUUUGAUUGGAAAGUUGAUAUCAUUGACAGAGCUACAUUUGAAAUUUAUGGCCAUUGAAGAAUUACCUGAAUCCAUUGGUUCUUUGAAUGAGCUCAAGACUUUAGAUGCCUCUUAUUGCAAAUCGUUAGCCCGCAUACCUAACUCAAUAGGCAAUUCAACAUCUCUGUCUUGCCUUGACCUAACGGAAUGCCAUAAACUUGCUCAACUUCCAGACUCUAUAGGCUUCCUCGUGUAUCUACCACGGUUGUUAUUGUCGGGAUGCCACUCAUUGAGACAAAUCCCAGACUUGAUCGGAAAGUUGACAUCAUUGAUAGAGCUGCAUUUGAAAUCUACGGCCAUUGAAGAAUUACCUGAAUCCAUCGGUUCUUUGAAGGAGCUCAAGAUUCUAGAUGCCUCUUAUUGCAAAUCGUUAGCCCACAUACCCAACUCAAUAGGCAAUUUAACAUCUCUGUCUCACCUUGACCUAAAUGAAUGCCAAAAACUUGCUCAACUUCCAGACUCCAUAGGCUCCCUUGUGUGCUUGCCGCGGUUGUUAUUGUCGGGAUGCCACUUGUUGAAACAAAUUCCAGACUCGAUCGGAAAGUUGACAUCAUUGACUGAGCUACAUUUGAAAUGUACGGCCAUUGAAGAAUUACCUGAAUCUAUUGGUUCUUUGAAGGAGCUCAAGACUCUAGAUGCCUCUUAUUGCAAAUCGUUAGCCCAUAUACCCAACUCAAUAGGCAAUUUAACAUCUUUGUCUUCCCUUGACCUGAAUGAAUGCCAAAAACUUGCUCAACUUCCAGACUCCAUAGGCUCCCUCGUGUCCUUGUUGCGGUUGUUAUUAUCGGGAUGCCAUUCGUUGAAACAAAUUCCAGACUCGAUCGGAAAGUUGACAUUAUUGAUUGAGUUACAUUUGAAAUCUACGCCAUUGAAGAAUUACCUAAAAGCAUUAANNNNNNNNNNNNNNNNNNNNNNNNNNNNNNNNNNNNNNNNNNNNNNNNNNNNNNNNNNNNNNNNNNNNNNNNNNNNNNNNNNNNNNNNNNNNNNNNNNNNNNNNNNNNNNNNNNNNNNNNNNNNNNNNNNNNNNNNNNNNNNNNNNNNNNNNNNNNNNNNNNNNNNNNNNNNNNNNNNNNNNNNNNNNNNNNNNNNNNNNNNNNNNNNNNNNNNNNNNNNNNNNNNNNNNNNCAAUCCUGCAUUCCUGAAUUUUUCUCACUAAACUUUCUCAAGAGACUCACUCUUUCUAACUGGCUUAAAUGUCUCUCAAACCUUUCUAUAACAUGUUAUAGAAAAGCUAUGAAACUUGAUUUUGUAUCUUACAAAAGUUCGAGCUGUUAGUUGGGCAUUUUAUUUACCUUUUGUCUUGUGAUACAGUUCUCUUAAAGCGUUUCAAGACUCCUCCUGCCAACAACUUAGCCAUGGACUACCAAACAACAGAUGAACAUCCUUUGAAGAGAUCAAAACCUUUUGGAAUCUCAAAUGAAGUACUUAUUUCAUUUUGCUUUUUCUUUGCCGUUCUUCAGUUAUUAAAGGAUGGUUCCAUCUACAAAGAGAAGUAUUUUACUGAAUGAUCAAUUAUUUGUUAUGUGUGGAAUGCUUUGAUCAACAUUCGUAACUAGAUCCAUCAAACUUGUUACAUUCUCGCUAUUUUAAGUCUUUUGUUCUGGAAGUAGGGAUUUUAGUUUUCUUGAAUUAUGAAGUUAAGGUGGAAUAUAUUGCCCGUUCUCUUGUGUUUCUCUCUCUUAAUUAUCUUUAUUUGCACGCCAUUGAUCGAAAACUUUUUGAAAGCGCACUCAUUUGGGUGCUAUUGCGGCAUAUGAUCAUGCAUUGAGAAUCUUCACGAGUGUAGGGGUUAUCUCACAUCAGUUGUGGAAGGAAAAAGUAGUUAGUUUAUAAUUGUGAUGGAAAGUCUCAUCCUUUAAGUUAGCUUUUAAGAUGAGAUAAGCCCAAGACCACCCAACAAAAAAAAACUUUUAGUUUUGAGGUUUCUAGAUACCCUUAAUCUUCAUGAUGUUAACCUAAUGAAAUUAUUGAAGAUUGGAAGGAUAACAAGAAAGUUUGAUGGAGAGAGAAAGGAGCAAAAGGGCUAGGGUUGUCAAUUUGUGUCCUCUUGUCAUAAUUGUGUUUGUGAUUGUGUCAAUUCAUCAUGACUUCUAUUAGACAUGUCAACCCAUUGAAUUAGAUGAAAACAUGUAAAUAUCUCAUCAAGUUAAAUGUAUCGUGAUGUGUCAUAUUGGGUUGUGUUUGUGUUUUUCGUGUUUGGUAUUGUUAUGUAAACAGUAUGUGUCACUAUUGGCAGCAUUAAUGAGAAGCGUGGACUGGAUAGGUGUUGAUUAUGUCUCCUCCCAUCAUGCAUGCAUUGUGCUCACGUAUGCUAGUACAAGAGGGGCUCUCAUAUGAGUCUUUUGCAUCUUUUGAGUGCCAUGGUUUUGAUCAAUUUUCUAAAGGACUCAUUAGUUUUGUAAUCUUCAUGACUUUCUAAUAGGUGAAUAAUUUGCCGGGAAAGAUUUUUCCCAUUACAUACAACUACCAGAGCUUUGGUCAGAGUUCUUAUUCUUCAGAUGACUUGCCUAGAAAUGUAGUCGUUACCCUAAGUCAUGAUUCACUUGUUAAAAGUAUGGAUUUCCAUCCAGUGCAACAAAUUCUACUGCUCGGUUAGCACUUCUUUCUUACUCUAUGAAGAACUUGUUUCUUGAUCUUCUUUAGUUGGAUAUACUUGUUGGCCAUAAGUUUGUGUUUUGGUGCUUGGAAGAUUCCUGUUUGUUGUUUUUUAUGCUCGCUUCAGCUAUUUGAAACCAAGGGAUAUGAUUCUUCAAAUUUUCUGCAUCAAUAAUUUUUAGUGGGAACAAAUACGGGUGAUGUCAUGGUAUGGGAAGUAAGCAACCGUGCAAGGAUUGCUUUGAGAAAAUUCAAGGUUUGGAAUUUGGGAACACGUUCAAUGGCGUUGCAGGUAUAUAAGUUCCACUCUAAAUAAAGUCAUGUAUCUUGUUUUUGGACAUGUAAUUGGGGGUUUUGAUUCUUUGUAGGCUUCUCUAGCCAAUGACUAUACAGCAUCCAUUAAUCGUGUAACGUGGAGUCCUAAUGGACUUUAUUUUGGUAUGUACAGAUGUCACUUCUACUUGUCUUAUUGCAAAUUGAUGAAACAACUAACGCGCUGAGAAUGAGACUUCAUUGCAAUAUUUUCAGGAAAAAUGUUCAUAUGCUGCUAUUACUGAUGAUUUGUGGUGUUCACUUUAGGUGUUGCUUAUUCCAAACACAUGGUGCACAUAUACUCGUAUUACGGUGGUGAUGACAUGAGGAACCACCUUGAGGUUUGUUGCUAAACAAGGAGUGAAAAAAUUCGGCUUCUUUUUGUAGACAAUUGCCACAUAAAAGUGAGUAAAACUUGAUUUUGACUCUAAACUAAUGUUUGAUACAGCUCGAGGCUCAUGCUGGAAGUGUUAAUGAUCUUGCCUUUUCAUAUCCAAACAAAUGGUUAUGCGUUGUGACCUGUGGAGAGGACAGGUCAAUCAAGGUAUAUCUUGAUUAUUUUCCUCAGUGUUGCAGCGUUCCAUCGUUUGAUCCCUUAACUAAGCUAGUAGUUUUGUAGGUAUGGGAUGUAAUGACUGGGGCUAAGCAAUACUGUUUCAAGGGUCAUGAAGCACCUGUAUAUUCUAUUUGUCCACACCAUAAAGAAAAUAUCCAGGUACUUGAUUAUUUCACGUACUAACAAAGACACCCUGCGAGCAUGGCCAAUCAGAUGUACCCUUGACUAUACACUAGACUUUUGUUUUCUAAAACUCAGUUAGGUAAAAAAAAAAUUGGUUCAAUUUGUAUGAGGAGUAUGAACCUAUGUUUUGAAGGACCUUGUUCAUUUCAAGGGUUUUGCAAGUCUUCCGACUUUUAACCUGUCUUGAUUAGAAUGUGCUUGUCAAACAUGGUGAAAUUGGUCCAAAGAUCAACCUACUAAUUUGAUUCUUUCAAGUAAUGCUACUAAGCAUCGACAACUAGGUAAAGGUCUUUGCAAUAAUGACUUCCUGCUUAAUUAUAUAUUCAAAAAGAAAAUUCCUCUACUACCAUUGAUUGUUCUCCCUUAGUUUUCUCUUUUAGUCACGAUUGGUUAAAUUUAUAAUAGAAGGCUGUUUAUUGUGUUUGAGUGGAGCAGCAAUUGGCAAUGUUAUCUUCUUCUUCUUCUUCUUUUUAAACAUUUAUGGUUGUGCAUAGUGUACACUUUAUUACAAAGAUGUCUUAUGAAAUCUCAUCAUUCUAGGAUGCUAUGUUUAAAUAAUUAUAGUUUAAGUGGAUGUGCUCUAUUUGGGCAUGUUACUGAAAUUGGUUAUACAAUUGUUUUAUCGUGUAGUUCAUCUUCUCAAUAGCAACAGAUGGGAAAAUUAAGGCUUGGCUUUAUGACAACAUAGGGUCAAGAAUUGACAACGAUGCACCGGGUCACUCUUCUACCGUGAUGGCAUACAACGCCGAUGGAAAAAGGUUUAGACCAUCAGCAUUGUAUAUCAAGCUUGAUUUCAUCCCGAGUCUUUCUUUUUCACUGAAAUAACCUAUUUUAGCGAUUUUAAUUUGCUAUAGGUUGUUCUCGUGUGGGACCAAUAAAGAAGGAGAGUCAUACUUGGUUGAAUGGAAUGAAAGUGAGGGGGGUAUCAAGCGUACAUAUCAUGGACUUGGAAAGAGUUCUAGUGGGGUUGUGCAGUUUGAUACCAUCAAAAAUAGAUUUUUGGCUACUGGUGACGAGUUCAUUAACAAAUUUUGGGAUAUGAACAAUGAUAGCCUACUUACAAGUACCGAUGCUGAUGGUGGAUUGCUGGUAAUUCACUGUUGUUAAUUUAUUUUGACUGAAUUAACUGAAACUUUCUAUUAAUUACCUCACUCUUUAAAUUUGCAGGCUUCACCUUGUAUUAGAUUUAACAAGGAAGGAAUCCUGUUAGCCGUCUCAACAAGUGAUAAUAGCAUCAAAAUUCUAGCAAAUUCAUUUGGGAUUGAGCUGCUAAGGACUGCAGAAAAACAUAUGCUUCUAGAGUCACUGCUAGGAGUCUUUUGAAGGUAAGCUUUUUUAACAAUACACUAACUUUAUGUAAAGAAGUCACUACUAGUCCAUUGUGGUCGGCUAAAACCCAAGGACUUGAUUACACUAGUUAUUUAAUUAAUGCUCUUUCAGUACCUAGACUUGAUUUAACUAAGUGUCCAUGCAGUCUUGGACCCUUUUAUUGACCUAUGCCACUUAAUUGGUGUCCAUGCAUGAGUGCACAAUAAAGGAAAAGUAAACAAUCAUUAUUAAUUCAACAAAAGUAAAGUAUAAGAAAAUACACCUAAUGAAGUGCCAAGCGAAGAAUACACAUGGCUUUGUUUUUAAGCCUCAAGACAACAACCUUGUAAGCUAAAUUCAAAUUAAGUCCAAUUCCUUUUCUCAAACACUAUUCUAUGUAACCUCACCUAAAUCAAAGGCACUCAUUAAAAUCUCUAAACCAUAUGUAGAGUAACUAAAACUAGAAGAAACUAAGCUACAUCUAGCACUAAAACUUAACGACCUAAUCAAGGUCUUUGUUAUUAACCAUUUUCCAAUUUUUCAUAUUUUCGAUUUUUUUUGAAAAUUUAAUUUUAAUUAUUUUCUGAAAAUAGGAAAUCGGGCCGGGCCCUUGGGCCUGGUCCGGAUAUGAGCCUCAUACUGGUCUCACGAAUCUGGGCUAAUGGACAAAAUUCGGGCUAUUAUAUCCAGAUCCAUCCAAUUCUAACUCUACUGAGCCCAAUUCAGAUUAUACCUAUUUUAAGCCCAUUUACCCAUGGAAGCUACUCUAGCUCACUUUCUCAUCUAACUGCACCAAGUCCAUCUUUAAGCCCAAUUUCUAUUACAAAUAGAUUAAACCCUAAGCCCACGCCAACCCUAUCUUACUAUUAUUAUUUUUAAUCCAUUUUUUCCUCUUUUCUUACAUCUUUCGUCAUUUUUUAUUAUUAUAAAAGUAAUCAAUGUUAGGUGUGCGAAGAGCCCCCCCUUUUUUUUAAGAGACUACCUGGUAAACUUUCCUGCAGUAACUUAAGCUAUAAAGGAUGGGUGAUGUAGCUUUUGUAAGGUCUUUGACAAAUAUUUCACAACUUUUUAGGAAAUUGCUUCGCCCGAUUUUGGGAUGUUGGAGCUGCUGUCGACGGCAUUGGGAAACAAUUUGGUAAAAGAAGUUGAAUUAACCUUCCAGCAAAGAAUUAUAAAGUGGAGAUGGUCAAUGGCAUUGGGAAACAAUUUGGUAAAAGAAGUAUUUCUAAGAGGUAUAAUAAGUCAGAACUCAACAAAAACGUCAGUGGAAGUGUUCAAUCAUGAAGAAGAAGAAGAAGCAAAACACCAUUCACUAAGGGAUAACUCGUGCACGCAGAAGGGAGGAAGCAGGGGAAAAUGGCUCCAUCUUCCAUCGUCUCCAGUCACCAUUGGAUAACCUUUCGUCGCGGUGUCUCAAGUUCCGAUAUAGCCGCUAGCUACCAUCGCCGUUCAUUACGAGUUCCAACUCCUUCGUUGGUUGCGCCGUCGACCAUCAGUCUCAGGAGGAUCACGUUUGUUCAUUUCAUCGCGAGCACCAUUCCAGAACCAAAACAAACAAAAACAUCGAGCAAGGAAAAUUCAUCUAAAAAAAGCGAUUCCGUUCGAUUCAGUUGGCGAUUUCAAGCGUUCUGAAUCGAUCACAGUGGCCGUCGCCGGCAUCAACAGCCUCUUCAAUGCCGCGACUCAUCUCCUUCGUUUCCCUUCAACGGCCGAGAGCUUCGAAAUGUUGUCGUUCCGCUCGAAGCUUCUCCACCUGUUCAGGUUUCGAUCAUCGACACGUUCUAGAGCUUCUUUCAGCGAUUCGUGCGCCAAACCGCGGCCUCAGUCCACUUGAUUAAGCAGGUAGCAUCUCCUGUUCUGUUGUCACGAGUAAGAGGCCGAGAGUCUGAUUCUCUUAUUAUGAUGAAAUUGAUCAUAUUUGAAUUUUUUUCUUUGACUUCGAACAUCAUGUACUGAUUUAGGUUGAGUCUAGUUGUAAAUUCGAGUUCGAAAUGGCUUUGAUAUGUUCCACAACCGAUUGACCAUAAUCUGUUCGAUGAAAUGUGUCUGAGACCCUGUUGUGAAUUGAUUCCAGUAAUCGUCCGAUCUGAAAAAGCGCAUUAGUGAUGUUCACUUGAUAUUGUUUGAUUUUUCAAUCUUUAGACAUGAUUACGAGUAUAUGCCAUAGUUGCCAAGAAUAAAACUGACUCUCCGCAUGUUUUCUCAGUGCUUCUUGUGAUCCUUUGGUGAUAGGUGGUGGUUGCCGGCAAGGGGAGAUGGAAUGGAGUCGCUGGCACAUGCAUUAGUCUUUGGUGAUGAUCGUAGCAUGCCCUGUUGAACAGAAUCGAGACGAUGUCGCUGAGCGUUAAUCGCCAAUUCAGAUAAUGAACUGCGGCCGACACAUGUUGCGGUCACUAACGGGAGCAAUGUUAUGCCUAGUCACUAUCCGCGUCCUUGCCACUGAGUCACCGUGCAAUCUCCUCGACUGCCAAGCUUUGCUUCAGUCCAUGCCUUGCAGACCAUCCUUGCCAUUGCAAUUGCUGUGCCACACCUUACCAUAAUGGCUAUUCAAGUGAACUCCGCAUGCGAUAGCACUGCCAUCAGAAUAAACCGCCAUACAUUACCAUUAUGGAUUGAUGUGGCAAUAGAGCUAUAUCCAUCACGUGUCUUUACAAUCGGUUGUUUCCGUUCCAACUGAGUUUUAGAGUCCAUUGUAUGUUCAGAUUUCCUUCGCUGCUUUGUUUUAAUGUUCAGGAUUUUGCGAGUCUUCUUAAACCGAAUCAUGGGAAAACUAAAUGGUUCGAAGUCCAGUCGUCAUGGGGUCGAUACUUUGUUGUAAAAUCAUUGUGCAUUACCUGCUUCCUGAUUCUUGUCUUGUCCUUUGGUUAUUGGUUACUUCACCUUCGUUGAUUUCAUUGUCCGGAAGUAGGUAAUCAAUCCAAGAGCACCUGCUAAAAUUGCAUUUUAGUUGUGUCAUCUGCUUCCUGCCUCAUUCUCUGUGAAUGACAUUCUACUUCUUGCGUGCUGUUGAGGGAAAUCAAUGGUUGACAAUCGAUAUGAAGUGAGCAAGUUAUACUUGUUUCCUGUCUUUAGUUGAUAACUUUUUGCGUAUGACAAUCGAUUAAUUAAACCAGUCCAUAGCUUGCACGAAAAUAGUAAAUGAGGAUUUACUUCUUUCUUGGAAUUAUCAAUGUCAUCGCUUUGUCUCUGGUAGUGGAAGAGUUUAUCAUUCUUUUUGAACUUUUUGAACUUGUAUAAGAAUCAAUGGAAUUCUCAUGGAGCAUUGAGUACCCAAAAUUUACAAGUUAUAUGAAGUGGUGGUGUCCUUUUGUUGCAUAUGCUGGAGUUUAGCGGUUAGUGUUCAUCUAUGUUUGUUGAACCGUUUGAUUUAUCACUUCAAUCGACAAAAUCUCAUAAACAGACAUGACAAUUGCGAGAGACGUCUUUGAACUGGCACUUUGGUGAUGAUGGUGCUCCUUCGUGUCGACUGUAUUUACUUGUUUGAGGAAGAAUCAUUUAUGAUAUUUUAUGAUAUUGGAGAAGUGAAUAUGUAUGGAAGGUUCCUUGGAUUCACAAGAAUAAAACCACUCGUGAUCCUGGAUCCACUCAUUGAAGAAAUGGAGAGAGAGAAUUUCCACAUGGACGAUGUGAAUGGGUCGUUGCUAAGCUUCUCGGCUGUUUGUUGAAUUUGAUUUGCAUAAUGGGUUGAAGCUAGCAUUUUAGUAGUGCUGGAAUUCCAAAACUGAGACGAACUGAAGAAUUUGAUGUUAAGUAUCUAAGCAAUGCCCACAAUUAGUAACAUGUUCUGAGCUAAUCAAGGUUUGUCAUCUGAGUAUAUCGCCAAGUAGUGCAUAACUUAGUCCUUUUUAGAGUAAUGCAUCAUUUAGUUAGAAAUUCGAGCAUGUUUAGAUUAGUACUUAGCUCAUGUGGGUUACUGUCUCGGGCUUAGCUCGAGAAUUCCAGCACAUUAUGACUGGAUGUAUAACCUUCCACAUCAUACAAAACCACAUAUCAGACGAACCCAAAGAUUUUCCGUUGUUCCACAAAUUAAGCAGGCUGGCACUUUAUCUUGCUGCUGGCAUAGUCGGCAAACCUGAUAAAGAACAGAACCAAAAUCUUAUUCACAAUCAGUUCAAAGAUGGGCACCCCUGAUGAUGUCGCAGUACGUAACCACAUUUCCGAUAAAGUUAAUCCUUGCAGUCAAUCAAGUAUGUGCCAUACUUGAAAUCUUUAGCAAUGUAAUUGAACCUUCCAAGAAAAUCAAAGGAAGACCCUUGGCACGGCACCAGCCUGGGGUAAUGUUGUAUUGACUUAUUUUAAACAUAAAGAUUGAAGAAUCAAGCGAAUGUGCACAUGUCCAUCAACGUAUGUCUUACAGGGCAUUUUUUUCAUCUUCAUAUAUAUAUUCGAGUUCAAAGGUACAUUUUUGCUACAAAUUCAUGUGGAUAGAGCGCAAUCACAAUUAAGUAGAAUAUCACUUGAAAUGUAAAAUAUAACCAUGCACCAUCUUAAUUAAGAGCCUGGAGAAGUUUAAGGUGAGGUGAGUAUAUAAGUUUAACACAUAAACUCAAUAUUUUAUGUUUGGACAGUGCUAUUACUUUCGUCACCAUUUGACUCACAAGAAAUAUGACGUAGAAGUGACAGGACCAUCAAAUCUAAUAACCAUGAUGAGACACUGCAAAUAUUCUCAUGUGAGAGUAUGAGAAACAACAGAAAAACAAGUCCAAGAAGCCACACAUUGACAUAUUCCAAAUCACCAAAGAAAUGUCAUAAUAAUUUAAAAAGAAAUCCAAAACUUUGUAAGCAAGAUAGAGUAAAGAUCUAACAUAAGCCUGAAUGAAAAAAAAAAGAUUUUUUUUUUUAUAUACUUUUCAUCCCUGUACUGCCACCUUUUUAUGUAAUUAUGUCCAUAUACCUUAAACUUGUCGAAUCAAGUCUUUCUAUAUUUACAAAUUUACUAAUCAAGACCCAACCAAAUUUAAUUGACGUAACCCUCGAAUGAUGCCCCAAUAUGAUGCAAAUGCUCACGUAGACAUAUGUGGAAAAAUUUAGCCAAUGUAGACAAUGUUAGAAUGUGACAUGGAUAAAAUUUAGCUAAGGUGUUAGUCAAAGUAACGUCCAUAUUGGAGAUUUUUUUAUCUAUGUCACACACUGACAUCAUUUGAUGAUUACGCCAACUGGAUCUGGCAGGAUUUUGUGUUUAUUGGGAUUUGAUUAGAAAAAUUUGUUAAAUUUGAAUGACUUGACUCGACAAAAUAAAAGUACGAUGGAGAGAACAGUAAAGUAGGGAAUAUUUCAAAAAACCAACCGCAAAUCCAGUCAGCAAAUAUCAGCAAAAGAUAGUGGCAGUUGCUGAGAAAUUAUGGUCUAAACUACUCUUAUCUGCACCAGCAAAAGAAAGCCUCACCUGACAAGACAACUAAGUCUAUUUUGUACCACAUGAGCAAUGAAUGGAAUGGUCACUCUUGAGUACUCAAAAUUCCGCUGGUGUGUGGGUCCGAUCUCAACGACAUCAAAAGCCAAGAAAAGGUCGCGACUGUGAACAUGUCUAUAAACUUAGUCUCAUUUUAUCAUAUGCUUUGACAGGGAACAAAAUUUCUAAGCCAAACUAGCAGCUGUGAGGGAAAUAUAUUCAGCAAGGGAUGUUGACACCUAAAAUUUGAUGAUCUAGUUAAUUAUUCAUUGCAAAAAUUAAGUAAAAUUGAGGAUUGAUCCCGGUCCCUAAAAAGAUAUUAGCUAAGUUGCAUAUACAUAUUAGAAGCAUUUUUCAUUCAUUAAAUAGUAAGCCCACAUAUGAUUACACUUCGAUUGGACUGGUGUAAGGAGAUUAUGAGCUUAAUUGAGUUUAUUAGACUAAGCCCAUGAGAAUGAGAAAUUCGGCCUAACCCGUCUAUUUCCUUUGCUCGACCAGACAUCAAAUAUGCAGUAUAAGGAAUUUAGCACGAAUGAAGGAGCAAAUAUUCGUUAUUAAGGAAUAUAUUCUGAAUAAUUUUUUGGGAGAAUUAACUGGCCAAUUCUUUCCAUUAUUAAAGAUGCGCAUCAUGCUUAAAGUAGGCAAGUUAAUUUUUCUUAGUCAAAUCUGGAAGUAAUUGAACACUAUUUGAAAGGAUAAAAACAAAAAUAGAAAAAUAAAAAGGAAUAAAACAGGGAAAAAGUACAAAAAAAGUCAUAAACUAUUGCAUCGAUAUCAAUUCAAUUCUAAAAUUUUCAAUUAAAUCAAUUAAAUCAUAAAUUUUUUCACAUUGGUACUAAUUUAGUCAAUUUGACCAAUUUUGGUCGGCUAGUGGCCAGAUGUUGACGUAGCAAUUUUUAAAUAAUUUUUUUGAAUUUUUUUAUUAAUUUUUCCUUCUUCUUUUUUUCCCUUUUCCUUUUCUCUCUUCUUCCACCUUAAACUAUACUCACGGUGGCCAGCAAACCUUUGGUGAGGCUCGCCAACCAUUGGGCGAGGGCCGUGAAGCCCUUGUCGGCCGCUAGUGAGGGUCGUGGCCUUCGCUUAGCCUUGCCCAAGGCCGCGAGCGAGGCUACUUUGCCUAGGUCCAGGUGAGACCAGCCUCGCCCUAGCCUUGCCUUAGGCGAAGGCGGCCUCGCCCGUGGUUGGCAAGGCCAUGGCGGCCAUCGCCAAGGCCUAAGCAAAGGUCACCAUGUCCUCACCUGCAGCCCCGGGCGAGGGUGUGACCCUCCCUGGCAACUGGCCAGUGCUUCGCGGCCCUUGCCUAGUGGUUGGCGAGCCUUGUGGGAGGCUUGCUGACCACCGCGAGUAUAGUUCAAGGAGGAAGAAGAGAGAAAAGAAAAGGAAAAAGGAAAAGGGAAAAAAGGAAAAAGAAAAGGAAAGGAAAAGGAAUUAUUAUAAAAGAUUAAAAAAAUUAUUAAAAAUUGUCACAUCAUUGUCUGGUUAGCGUCCACAUCAGUGUCGGCUUGCCAAAAUUAGCCAGAUGGAAUGAAUUGGUACCAAUAUGAAAAUGUUUAAGACUAAAUUGAUUCAAAUGAAAAAGUUUAGGACUAAAUUGGUACAAAUGCAAUAAGUUUAUGAUUUUUUUGGUACUUUUCCCAAGAAAAUGGUGAAGAAAGAAAGAGAAUGAAGGAGCAGAGGACGCCGACAAAGAGGAAGAGGAGGGAGCGAAGCCAAUGGUAGCGUGGGAGGAGCUAGGGUUGGAGGCGGCGGCGGUGACGAAAGGGAGGGGGUGAAGGAGAAGGAGAGAGGGGAGGAGGAGUUAGGGUUUACGGUCACAAGCAAAGAAAGAAAAGAGAAAACAAGAAAAAAGAAAGGAAAAGAGAAAACAAGAAAAAGAAAAAAAGAGAGAAAGAAAUAAGAAAAAAAAUAUAAUAUUAACAAAUUCAAAAUUUUUAGUUAGUAAAAUUUUUAGGAAUAAAUUUUUCAUUAUCUAAGGACUUUAAAACAUUUUGGAAAAUGUUUUCCAAUUCUUUCAAAUAGAAAUCGUUUUUAUGAAUUUAAGCUUUGGAGGGAAAACCUAUUCUAUUGAUUAGGAAAAUAGUUUAUGUUAACUUAUUUUCCUAAGUGAAUCAAACACUGGUAAAUGAGGAAAACGCUUAUUUAGGAAAUUGUUUUUCGCAAAACAAACACACCCUUCACUGUGUUCCCAAACACCUAGGGAGCUAUAGGACAUUAGUGUUCGCCGACACAUUUUCUAGGAUUGCCUUUUCCACAUUUUAUUUUUCAAAUUUCCAUGUUCUUUAACAAUAUUUCGGAAAAUGAAUGAUACAUGGGGGGAAAUUAGGAAUUCAACAUGAAACGUUGCAAACUAUUAAUUUGGAGGAGAGAGAUAAAAAUGAUUAGAUGGAGUGUAAAGACUGGAUAAUCUUUAAAUAUGAUGCAGCAUGGAGAAAUCUAAUUUGAGAAAAUUAUUUCGAAAGAGAUUUAUUUUGAGAGCUACUUUCUCGGUCAAAUCUCUUUUGAAAAAAGUAAUGCGUCCCGCACACUUUUAAUAACAAUAUCCUAUAUAAUCCCACGAUUGAUAUGCUUUUGUUAUCGACUCAUGUUCAUUAGCAGCUUCGACCAAAAAAAUGAAGAAGAAGAAAAAAAAAUGUACAUUAGCAACAGGAGAAGGUGAUUGUCGGUAACCACUGGGAGUUCGCCCCAAUGACCACUCUUCCAACUUGGAAGGGGGAUGUUGGGAGUUCAAAUUCCUAACUUCGCGGGGGGAUUGGGGUGGGGAUGAUUUCAUUUCAAGAAUGGAUUUCGACUCCCACGUCCUGCAAUGAGGCAGGGCAAAAGUCUGAAAGUGAGUGUUAGAGUAAGAUUAUAGUAGGAUCGAAAAAAAGAAAAAAGAUGACUGUUGGUCGUUAGUUGUCUUUUUCUAUUCUGUCUAGUAAUACAAAAGGCUAGCCAAGUCAGACAAUGCUGGAGGAUCUCAAAUCUCAAUGAAAGCACAUGCAUGCACCAUCCUCGUAUAAUGCUGAGGAUCGGCGGAGAUCACAGCUGGCGCACGUGAGUAUUGCUCGUUGGUUCUCUUUUCUAUUUUCUUUCGUUAAUAUCGAAAGGCAAGUCAAGUCAAUCCGUACUGGAUCUCAAAUUUUGAUCAAAGCACCAGGCACGUGAUUGCAUGUGAGUAAUUGCUCGUUGGGUUCCGCACACAUUCCGCAAGAUGCUGCGGAAACUUCGCGUGCAAUGACUGUUCUUUCCGCGGCAUGUUUCGCUGCGGUUCGAUUAGCAUGAAGAGACUUCGACCGUUGGAUAGCUAGGCCCCAACAUUAUAUGCUUUGCACAAAUAGCCCCGGUCGAUCUUUUCAUGCGUCAACAAUUUUUAUCUAAUUAAUUUGACUAACCCAUAUAUAUAUAUAUAUAUAUCCGGAUGGAGAGGAAAUCCUAUUCAGGUAGAUAAAUUUCCACCGUAUAAUUCUAAUAAUGGAAAUUUGGUUCAUUCACUCUAAAUAUUUUGCCUUCCAUACCCAAAAUUUAGGACCUCACUAAUUUCAUCCUUUGCACUUCUAUAUCCUCAAGAAACUUUGAGCCUGCAUACAUCUUUUCUCUUGACAAUGUAAAUGGUUUAUAAAAUUUUUUUAGCCCUGAUUACAUCCUAGAUUGCAGUUUGUUUUAGGGAGGGUUUUAUCCGUUGAGCACACGCACUGAUUAGUAAAAGCAUCGCCAGGAGAAAAAAAUGAACUUUAUGGUUCUUCCCUAAACUUUAAUUUGCUUUCUCUUCGCUAGUUAAUCUUUCCUAUGUGCAUAUACUUGCUUCGUUCUUCCAUAACGAAACAUGUAAUUGGUAAAUUGUCGAACUUGUGAACUACAAUAUCCACUAUUUUAUCAAGUCUCAUUUUUUUUUUCCAUUUUUAAUUUGAGGUAGUACAUUAAACAUGCUAACAAAAUAGAAUCUAAAUAGGAAACAAAAAUAAAAAUAAAACAAUUGGCUAUGGUGCAAUAUUAUAUAGCAAUAUAAUUGGUCUAGGUCGUGAUAUUGUAGUGUAGUUGGUUUAUAAUAUCCAAUCACUAAUGACAAACGACUAUAACAAGUACAUAGAUCUUUUUCUUUUCCAUUUUUUUAAUUGAUAUGAGAAGGAAAAUAUAUUUAUAGGAUUAUAAAUAUUAAGAGAGAGAAUAGAUCUUGCAUUGCCAACAAAGCAACAUGGCAAAAAAGUUGUAUAAUACCUUAAGAUUGCUUCAUUUGCAGUACCUUUAUUAAAGAUAUAUAAAGUUGUAUAAUACCAAUGGCUAAGAUAUUAAGUGUAAUACUCAAAUAUAACCUUGUUUAAGAGAUAAUGACGACAAAGACAGCGAUAAAUAUGCCCUAUCCAAUAAGUAACUCACCGAUAAAAUACGAUAAAACCCAACUCGCCCUCGAGUGCUGUCGGAAUAUUAUUGCAAAUACAUCCAUGAAGCCAUCGAUAGAAGACACGUACUUGCAAAUACAUCCAUGGUCCAUAUUUGAAAUUCAGCACUCAAAAUUUUUAGUGAUUAUUUUUCAGUUUUAUCUUAACGGCACGUACUCGCAGCUUAUUUUUCACAAACGAAUUUAAGUUCAGCAUUGGCAAAAAAAAAAAAAAAAAAAAACAAGUUGAGUCGAGUUGAAAGUCGAGUUAUAGUACAUAAGCUUUGACUCAAAAUUACCAGUGCAAUCGUUUACUUUAAGUAGUUAGAGUACAAUGUUGAAUAUAUUUUGUCUUAACAGUUCAUUUGGUUUAACUUCUAGCUUUUUCUUGACGAUAAAGCAAGAAUUAGGUACAUAAAUUCACAAAUCAAUAAAUAAUCCACUAAUGCAAAGGAUCACACAAGACACAGGUCCCUAGUUAUGAAACCAUUUUAUGCUUACAAACGCGAGGAACCAAACACACGUCAUGUAUCUAGUUUCCAUACACUAAUUUUUGCUUUCCUUUCUCUUGCAACUCACACAGUUGAACUUUUGUUUAACAUAAAUAACUUAAAAGAUUCAAAAUGUGUAAAUACAGUCACGUAGAUAAUUAUACAAAUCUUUUUGUAAUUAACUUAAAUUAUAUAUUAAUUUUUUAAAUGUUAAACAUUUAUUAUGUUAUACCAAAAUUAUCUUGAAAGAGGUAAUACACCAGGCCAAAGUAAGGAGCCACCUCAGUUACCGUCGAGUCCACGUCCGUGUGGCCAUGCAGCGUUGUCGUCGAGGUCCGAGGGGCGAUGGAUAUUCCUGUCUCCUUUUUCAAAAGCCGAAGUAAUCACUCCGAAAGUCCAACCCCCAUGUCGCCUCGGUUGGGAAGUACACAGGAACUCGCUCGGUCCGCGCGCCACGUGAGGUCGAGGGGCAAGUCGGAGUGGCAGAAGAUAUCCUCGAGGUCCGAGGCGGGGACCCCGCUUAGGCUUCGGUUUCAGAGCAGCUGACCGUCGUAGCGGUCAAACAAGUACGUGCCGCACUUGAAAUCUCUAGCAACGUAAUUGAACCUUGCAAUAAAAUCAAAGGAAGAACCUCGGCGCAUCACCAGCAUAGGAGACCACCAUAUUGACUUCAUUUAAAAAGAAAGAACGACGAAUCAAGCAAAAGUUAGUAUGUACAUAUCCAUCUAUGCAUCUCUUACGGGGCGCUUUUUCAUCUUUUAAUAUAGACUCGAGUUCAAAGGUAAUUUUUUGCUACAAAUUCACAUGAAAAUAGCAUAAUUACAAUCAGUAGAAUAUCACUUGAAAUGUAAAAUAUGACCAUGCACCAUCUUAUCUAAGAGCCAAGUUUGAGAAAAGACUACCAAAAACCCUAAACUUUACCAAAAGUGACAAAUUUAUCUCAAACUUUUUUUGUGACGUGAAAAACCUAAAACUUUUCAAAUUGUAACACAUUUACCCAAUCAAGGGCAUUUUUGUCUUAUUUUUUCUCUUUUUUUUUUCUUCUUCUUCCCUCUACUGGCUAUGGUGGAGGGAAGCUGGCAUCCCGGCGAGGGCUGCCCUUAUCGACGUUGGGCUAGCUCAUGCGAGGGUCGUCUCGCCCUGGGGCUUGGCUANNNNNNNNNNNNNNNNNNNNNNNNNNNNNNNNNNNNNNNNNNNNNNNNNNNNNNNNNNNNNNNNNNNNNNNNNNNNNNNNNNNNNNNNNNNNNNNNNNNNNNNNNNNNNNNNNNNNNNNNNNNNNNNNNNNNNNNNNNNNNNNNNNNNNNNNNNNNNNNNNNNNNNNNNNNNNNNNNNNNNNNNNNNNNNNNNNNNNNNNNNNNNNNNNNNNNNNNNNNNNNNNNNNNNNNNNNNNNNNNNNNNNNNNNNNNNNNNNNNNNNNNNNNNNNNNNNNNNNNNNNNNNNNNNNNNNNNNNNNNNNNNNNNNNNNNNNNNNNNNNNNNNNNNNNNNNNNNNNNNNNNNNNNNNNNNNNNNNNNNNNNNNNNNNNNNNNNNNNNNNNNNNNNNNNNNNNNNNNNNNNNNNNNNNNNNNNNNNNNNNNNNNNNNNNNNNNNNNNNNNNNNNNNNNNNNNNNNNNNNNNNNNNNNNNNNNNNNNNNNNNNNNNNNNNNNNNNNNNNNNNNNNNNNNNNNNNNNNNNNNNNNNNNNNNNNNNNNNNNNNNNNNNNNNNNNNNNNNNNNNNNNNNNNNNNNNNNNNNNNNNNNNNNNNNNNNNNNNNNNNNNNNNNNNNNNNNNNNNNNNNNNNNNNNNNNNNNNNNNNNNNNNNNNNNNNNNNNNNNNNNNNNNNNNNNNNNNNNNNNNNNNNNNNNNNNNNNNNNNNNNNNNNNNNNNNNNNNNNNNNNNNNNNNNNNNNNNNNNNNNNNNNNNNNNNNNNNNNNNNNNNNNNNNNNNNNNNNNNNNNNNNNNNNNNNNNNNNNNNNNNNNNNNNNNNNNNNNNNNNNNNNNUGGCUUCCUUUCACGGAUUCCGCCAUGGCCGGCAGGGGGAAGAGAGAAGAAAAAAAAAAAGAAAAAGAAAAGUAAAAAGACCAAAAUGCCCUUUAGUUUAUGAUAAAUGUGUCACACGACAGAAGUUUAGGAUUUUUUAUAUCACAAAAGAAAGUUUGGGAUAAAUGUGUCACGGUUGGCAAAAUUCAUGAUUUUUAAAAUCACAAAAAAAAGUUUGGGGGUAAAUCUGUCACUUUGGACAAAGUUUAGGGUUUUUCGUGAUUUUUUCCAGCCAAGUUUAAGGUCUAAGAUCAGCAUUUUGAUAUCAUUACGAUCAUCUUAUAAGCAGUAAGCAUUCAAGUAGCAUUCAAGUAGCAUUCAAGUUUAAUACAUAAACUUGAUAUUUUAUGUUUGGACAUUGCUAUUACUUUUUUUUUUUUGGUAAGGUAACAUUGCUAUUACUUUUGUCACUAUUUGACUCACAAGAAAUUUAACAUAGGGAAAUUUAACAUAGGAGUGAUAGGACCAUUAGCCCUAAUAACCAUGAUGAGACACUGCAAAUAUUCUUGUGUCAGAGUAUGAGAAACAACAUAAAAAUAAGUCCAAGAAGCCACACUUUUGACCUAUUCCAAAUCACCAGAGAAAUAUCAUAAUUAAUUAAAAGAAAUCCAGAGCUUUGUAAGCACGGUGAAGUAAAGAUCCAGCAUAAGCCUGAAAGACAAAAUUAAGUUUUUUUUGGGUACUUUCAUCCCUAUACUUUCACUUUUUUCUCUCAUUAUGUCCCCAUACCUUAAACUUUUCUAAUCAAUUUAUUUUGCUUUCACAAAUUUCCUAAUCAAGACCCAACCAACCUUAGCUUAUGUAACCGUCAAAUAAUGCCCCAGUACGAUGCGGAUAACUUAUGUGGAUGCCCACGUAGUCAUGUAUGGAAAAAUUUAUCCAAUAUAGACAAUGUCAGAACGUGACAUGGAUAAAAUUUAGUUAAGGUGUAUGCCAAAGUAUAUGUCUAUAUUGGAAAAUUUUUGUUUACGUCACACAACAAUAUCAGUUGACAGUAAUGCCAGCUGGAUUUGGUCGAGUUUUGUGUUAGAGGGAUUUGAUUGGAAAAUUUAUGAAAUUUCAAAGAACUUGUUAGUAAAAUUACGGUAGAGAAAACGUGAAAGUAGAGGAUAAGAAGAAGACUGAUUUCGAAAAACCAACAGCUAAUCCACAGUCAGCAGAAGAAUGCCUUACCUGACAAGAUAAGUAGGUCUACUUUGUACCACGUGAGCAAUGAAUGGAAUGGUUACACUACAUCCUCACAAUUCCACUGGUAUCUGGGUCCAAUCUCAAGGACAUCAAAAGCCAUGAAAAGAUCACAACUGUGAACAUCUCUCUAUGAACUUGUCUCAUCAUAUGCGUCAAGAGGGAAUAAAAUCUUUAAGCCAAACUAGUAGUUGUGAGGAAAAUAUAAUCAGCAAUUAAUGUUGACACAUAAAUUUUGACUACCCAAUUAGUUAUUUAUCGCAUAGAAAAAUUAAAAAAUCGACCUCGUCCCCUAAAAAAAAUAUUAGUUAAAUUACAUAUAGAUAUUAGGAGCAUUUUUCAUUCAUUAAUAGUAAGUCCACAUAUAAUUACAUUUUGAUUGGACUGGUGCAAGGAGAUUUUGAGCGUAAUCGAGUUAAUUGGACUAAGCCCGUGGGAAUGAGAAAUUCAGCCUAAUCCAUUUAUUUCCUUUGCUCGACCAGACAUCAAAUAUGCAGCACAAGGACUUCAGCACGAAUGAAGCAGCAAAUAUUCGUUAUUGAGAAAUAUAUUCUGAACCUUUUUUUGGGAAAAUUAACUGACUAAUUCUUUUCAUUAUUAAAGAUGCACGUCAUGCUUAAAGUAGGCAAGUUAAUUUUUCUUAGUCAAAACUGGAAGUAAUUGAACACUAUUUGAAAGGAAAGAAACAAAAAUAGAAAAAGAAAAAGGAAGAAAACGGGGAAGAAAGAAAGAAAUUCACGGCCCGAGCAUGAUAGACCAGAGAAUAAUGUAUGCACUCACAAGAGGAAAGUGGAAUUCGGCCAGCCCAAAAGGAGUUCUCGCCAAGUAUAAAGAGAUAACACUGCAACACGUAAAAGAGGAGACAAAGGAGGGAGACAAAAUGUUCGAUAAAUUCACGUUCGCAAUUAACGAGAAGUGUGAGCAAUACAUAAAAGAGAACUCAAGUUUUUUCUGUGCCUCGAAAAGCUAGCCCCUACGCAGUAAGUGUGUCUAUGUUUUGACGUUACGAUUGGGAGAAAACAUGUGCGUUCAAUGACAUUGGAGAUUGAUUUACAUGUCUCAAAGUCAUUAGUUGGAAUUAAAAGUGGACUGUAAAUGCAUGUGAAGAUAUUCGAAAAGUACACUUGUAAUAGGUGGAGACGAUAUUUGGGGCACUCAUGAAAAAAAAUGGAUUGAACGGGCCAAAAUAUUUUAGAUAUUUAUAGCAUAAGUUUUGUCAUAUUGAUGCAUUUCGUUAAACAAUUUUUUUAAUCUUGAGGAGAAGCUUCUAUUGCAUUCAUUUAUAGUUUAAGAACUAUAGAUGGACGUAAAUGAUCAACGGCACAUUUUCUAGGGUCGCAUCUUCCACAUAUUUUCAAAUUUCCACACCUUUAAAAAUAUUUUGGAAAAUGAAUGAAAAAUAGGAGGGAAGUUAGGAAUUCAACAUGAAGCGUUAAAAACUAUUAACUUAAGGAGAGAGAUAAAAGUGACUUAAGCAGAGGGUAAAGACCGGAUAAAACAUGAUAUAGCGUAGAGAAAUCUGGUUUGAGAAAAUUAUGUCGGAAGAGAUUAAUUUUCAGAGUUACUUUCCCAGACGAAUCUCUUUUGAUAAAAGUAAUUCGUCCUGCAGGCAUUUGAAUAACGAAAUCCUAUAUACCACGCUUGAUAUGAUUUUGUCAUUGACUCAUGUACAUUGGCAGCGGGAGCAUGCGACUGUCGGUCGUUAGUUUUCUUUUUCUGUUCUGUUUACUAAUAGAAAAGGCAAGCCAAAUCAAGACAAUGCUGCAGGAUCUCAAAUCUGAAUGAACGCACCUGCAUGCACCUCCCUUGUAUGAAGCUGAGAAUCGGUGGAAAUCACAGCUGGAGCACGUGAGUAUUGCUCCUUAGCUUUCUUUUCCAUUUUCUUUCGUUAAUAUAAAAGUCUAUUUACUUUCAUUAAUAUGAACGGCAAGCCGUGCGGGAUCUCGACUUUUGACCAAAGCACCGGGAGCAAGUGAGUGUUGCACGUGAUUGCAUGUGCGCACGUGAGUAUUUAUUUUGGCUCUUUCGGUUCCGCGCUCCUUCCACUAAAUGCUGCGGAAACUAUGCAUGCAAAGAUUGUUCUUUCAGCGGCAUGCCUCGCAGUGGUUCGAUUAGCACGAAGAGUCUUGGACCGUUGGAUGGCAAGAACUCAGCAUUAUGUGAUUUGCACAAAUAGCCCCGGUCAAUCUUUCUAUGCUUCAACAAUUUUUUUCUAAAUAAUUUGACAACCCAUUCAUAUAUAUAUAUAUUUCCAGAUGCAGAGAAACCCUACCUACUUAGACAAAUUUCCAUUGUAUCAUUCUAAUAAUGGAAGUUUGGUUCAUUCACUCUGAAUAUUUUUCCUUCCAUGCAAGUAAAAGUCUAAGACCUUACUAAUUUCAUCAUUGCUACUUUGAACAAACGUUUCUCUUUUCUCUGGAUAAAUUUCUUUUGCCUCGAUUAUAUCCUGGAUUCCAACUAUUUUUUUUUUUUUUAAAGGAGGGAAUUAUCCAUGGAGGACGCACACUAAUUUGUAGAGGCACCAUUAGGAGAAAAGAAUAAACUUUAUGAUGUGAAAAAAAUUACAUUUUAUAUUCUUCCCUAAAUUUUAAUUUGUUUUCUCUUUGCUAUUUAAUCUUUAUUAUAUGUAUACUUGUUUAUUUCUUCCAUAACGAAACAUAUAGCUGCUAAUCUAUCAUCCUUGUGAGACACAAUGCCCACUAUUUUAUCACGUCUCAUUUUUUUUCAUCUGUAAUUUGAGGUAGUACAUUGUUAAGAGACGAAGGAAAACGAAAGGCCCAUGUGUACUCUACUAUCGGUAGAAUAUAUUUUCCACGCCCCGAUUUUACAAUCAAGACGUGCUGCACCCCAAUUUUCAAUCAAAGCACGUUGCAUAAGUAGGAUCCACACACCUUCCGCAUAAUGCUGCAGAAAUUAAUUAUUAUCGAACAACCUUUUCUUUCAUUUUAAGUCCUUAAAAUGGUCCAUAUUUGAAAUACAGUACUCGAAAUUUCGGUAAUUAUUUUUCAGUUUUUUCUAAACGGGCUCAUACUCGCAGCUGAUUUUUCACAAAUGAAUUUAAGUUCAGCAUCAGCAAAAAGACAAGUUGAGUCAAGUGGAAAGUUGAGUUAUAGCACCCAAGGUUUGACUUGAAAUUACCUAUGUAAUCAUUUACUUUAAGCCGUUAGAGUACAGUGUUGAAUAUAAUUUACAUCAUAGCAAUUUAUUUGGUUCGACUUCUAGCUUUUUGUUAACGACGAACACAAAUCAGAUACGUAAUUCACAGGUCAACAAAUUCUCCACUAAUGCAAAGUAUCAAGCUAGACACAAGUCUCAUAUACGAAACAGUUUAUGCUUGCAAAUAUGGCGGACCAAACACACGUUGUGUACCUAGUCUCCAUCUACUAAUUUUUACUUUCUAUUCCCUUGCGACUCUCAUAGUCAAACUUUUUUUUUUUUAUAACAAAGAUCACUUAAAAGAUUCAAAAUAUGCAAAUACUAUCACGUAGAUAAUUAUAUAAUUAUAUUUUUAAUUUAACUUAAAGAAUAUACAUAUUUUAAAUCUUUCAAAUGUAAAAAAUCAAUUAUACUUUUAAGUGCAGUCUAAAUUUUUAUCGAAGGGUUGCAUACCAAAAUUAUCUUUUAUUUUGAAAGAAGUAAAGCACCUCAUUAGUCAUUAGAGAAAAAGGCCAAAGCAUGGAGCCACCUCAGCUAGCGCUGUCGGGGACCCGUCUCCUUUUUCAAAAGCCAAAAGAAAUUGCCCCGAACGUCAAACCCGCCCACUCGCCUCGGUCAGGGAGAGCACGGAAACUCGCUCGGACCGCGCGCCACGUGAGCUCGAGGGGGGCAAUUCGGUACAUUCCGAGUGGCCGAAGAUAUCCUCGAGAUGCGAGGUGGGGACCACACAUUGGCUUUGGUUUCUGAGCAGCUGACCGGCGUAGCGGUCGAGCAACGCGAACACGGAGAGGAGGAGCGGCGUGGGUCCGCGUGAAGAGACAACCUAAGCAGAAUCUUUUUUUUUGGUCGAAGCCUAAGCAGAAUCCACACGGCAAAUUUCUACUCUGUUUUCGUGGAUAAAAGGGUCUCGAACAGUUGGACGGCAAUAACUCAGCAUCGUUCGAGCAAGCGCGGGAGAGAGUGUUAAGCGUAGUUAAUCCGAGGUUGAAGGCUGAGAACCGGCAGAGUUCACAGCAGUAGGUGAAUUGUGUUGUUUGAGCACUCUUCAGGUAAUCGAUUGCUCCAUUUUCUUUUGAUGAGUUUCGAUUUGAGUUCUUGGAGACAUUUUUGCAUUCCGAGAUUUGGACUGUGAAAUCUAGACUUUUUUUCUUCAAGGCUCUGCUCGAUCGAUGUCCUAUUUGGUCAAUUAGACUUCAUUUCUGUUUGAAUUUAGCUACGAAAUGAGCUCUGACAGACAUUUCGGCAAUUCCCGAAUCCGGGAUUCCGUAUUUCUCUUUGUUUUCUGCUUUUCUUCGAGGCUCUGCUCCAUCGAUCUCUUCCAUUCCCUUUAUAGGUGAUUACAAAGGCGGAGCCUAAAAGAUUCGAUAUGUGGGGACAUUCAGAAGAUCCGAAUUGUGGGGCUUCUUCCUCAUCGACUUCACCGCAUGUAGGUGAUUAUGAAGGCAGAACCAAAAAGAUGAAAAGAAAUGACUACGAAGUGUUCUUGAGCUUUAGAGGGAAGGAUACUCGUAAUGGCUUCACCGAUUAUCUAUAUACUAGUCUUGUUGAUGCAGGAAUUCAUGUGUUCAGAGAUGACAAUGAGCUUUGUGUUGGUGAGGAGAUUGGACCGGAACUUUUCCGCAGUAUUACACAAUCUAAGAUCUCCAUCCCGAUUAUCUCAGAGGACUAUGCAUCCAGCAAAUGGUGCCUUCGCGAGUUGGCUCUUAUGUUGAAUUGCAAGAGAAACAAAGGGCAAAUGGUGUUACCCAUAUUUUACAAAGUGGAACCUUGGCAAGUGAAGCAUCUCACAGGGAGAUUUGGAGAUGCUAUCAAUACACAUAAAAAGAAUUUGGAAGAAAAGAUUGUGAAGGAAUGGGAAGAAGCACUCAAAGAAGUCACUUCCUUGAAAGGAUUGGAAUCGGAGAAAAUUGAUAAUGGGUACAUUAUUCUCCACCACAACAUUGUUUACUUUCUCAUAACUAGAUCUUACUUGAAAAAUAAUACAAAUAUUUCCAUCAUAUAUUGAAAUUUUUAUUGUUGUUCGACAGGCGUGAAGGAACAUUGGUUAAAAUAGUUGUCAGAAAAGUUAUGAGUAACUUAAAGGAAUUGUUUUUGCUAAAUGUUCCCAAACAGUUGGUGGGAAUUGAUGAUCGUGUGGAGCGUAUUAUGCACUUCAUAAAUGCUAAAUUUAGUGAUACAAGUAUUAUCGGAAUCUAUGGAAUGGGCGGCAUCGGUAAGACAACCCUUGCGAAGGUGUUGUACAACAAGCUUUUGAGUCAUUAUGAGUCUCAUAGCUUUGUGGCAGAUAUUCGAGAAAAAUUUAAGCUCAAGGGUCUUGAAUGCAUACAAAAGCAGCUCAUUUAUGACAUUAGUGGAGGCUUAUGUGAUGUGUCUAAUGUCGAUCACGGAAUCAAUAUCCUUAAAUCUCGAUGUAUAAAUAAGAAAGUUCUCAUUCUUCUUGAUGACAUGGAUGAUAAUACUCCCUUGAAUGCUUUGGUUGAAGACGGUAGUUGGUUUAAAGCUGGAAGUACGGUCAUCAUCACCACUAGAGACAAGAGUAUUCUUGACAAGGUUGGGGUAAGAUACAAGUAUCAACUCAAUGAGUUGCUUUCAUAUCAAUCAUUGGUUUUAUUUAGCAGACAUGCAUUUCGAACGGAUUCUCCUCCGAGUGAUUAUUGGGUUAUCUCUCGUGAUAUCGUAUCUACUACUGGGGGGCUUCCUUUAGCUCUUGAAGUUAUUGGUUCAUUCUUAUGUGGAAAGACAAAAGAAGCAUGGAAAGCUACAUCAAAAAAAUUAGAGAAAGUGCCUAAUAAGAAAGUGCAAGAGAAGUUGAGAAUAAGUUACGACGCAUUAGAUUUUGAGGACCAGCAGAUUUUUUUGGAUAUUGCAUGUUUUUUUGUCGGAUCAUCUAUACAAAAUCCGACUUACAUGUGGGAUGCCUGUGGUUUUUUCCCGGGAAAGGGGAUUGAAGUAUUGAAUCUUAUGUCCCUAAUUAAAAUUACUGAUGAUGGCGAGCUAAUGAUGCAUGAUCAGCUGAGAGAUCUUGGAAGGGAAAUUGUUCGUCAAGAAAAUCUAAAGAAGCCUCAAAAGCGUAGCAGAUUGUGGGAAUAUGAGGAUGGCGUAGAUGUGCUUCUCAGCAACAAGGUAAGAGUUUUUCUCCGCUUGUCUUAAUCAUCGAAUGUGAGCACAUCUUCUCUUUCUUGUUUAAGAUAAUAAUUAUAGUCAAUCACGAGUCCCCAAAACUGGCUGCGUCUACUGGCAAGAGGGCACUUUUAAUUAAUUGCUCUUCUUGUCGGACUUUAGGACAAAAUUGAAGAGCAAUUUCUUGGUUAUUAAUAACUAAUAUUUUUAACUAGUAAGAUUGUGAUGAGGAUACUCUCCUUUUGCUAGCUUCAAUAAAAAAACAAAGCUACAAAUUAAUGUUCGAUAGAGCACUUUUAAAGAAAAUCGAAUAUCUAUAAAUUGUUGGGGCCAUGCUUUCCCACAUUUUUGUUUGGUGCACAGGUUGAUGUUUGAAUUCUUAUAUUGAUUUCUUUUGAGGUAUUUUCUUUCUUUUUUCUUUUAACGAGUACCGACUUCUUAAGAGUUUGCUACGAUGAAUGAGACCAUUCAUUAGUGAUGAUUAGCUAUCCCGAUUCUUGAAUUUUUCAAGUUGGGUAAAGUAUAGAUUUAGUCCCUCAAGUAAUACUAUUUGUAAGAUUUAAUCCCCUUUCUAUUUUUUGCUCAAUACCAUUCUCCAUCUUUCACAGUUUGUGCGAUCAAGUCCUUUGUAGUCAACCGUUAAUGAACAUGGUCAAUUUGUUGAUGUGACUUUCAUAUACUAUAAAUAAUAUGGUUAUAAUUAAUAUAAAUCCUAGUUAUAAUUAGAAAUCUAACAUUAAUAGAGUGACUUGGAAAAAAAGACAUGAAUUUUGGGAAUAACUAUUACUACAAGUAAAUAUUGUAAUAGACUAUAAUAGCCAUUACGGUAAUGAAACGUGCUCUAAUAAUCUAAAUGCAUGUAAUAAUACAUUGCUACAUAAUGUGUAUGUAACUAAGGGUUAGUAAAUGUGUACAACUAAACGGUAUAUAUUAUGCGGUAAGAUAUUUAGUUCAAAGUAAGACGUUAGGAAAAAAAAAGUAGAAAUUUUCCAAUAAACGGUAUAUAUUAUGUAUUCCCAAAAAAAUAUAUAUUAAUAAAGAUAUGUUCUCAAUACCAUAAUUAUAAAAAUUUUAAUGUUGAAGUAUUAUCUAAACUAAAUUUUUUGACAUGAUACUUGUUAAACUUGGAAGUUAAAUAUUUCAACCAUACAUACAUGACCUUUUUCUUUAUAUAGAGGAUGAGUGAUGAAGUGACUUUUCAGUUACAACAUUUUUAAAUAUUUAUAGAAGAAUGAUAAUUAAUAAUAAAACUAAACAAUUUCACAACUGUAUGUUGGCACAGAAGUGAUAUUAACAUAAUAUAAUUAUUCUUCAUGUCCAAUCUAUCUCUUAGCAAGAUCUUAUUAAUUUAUGGGCAAAAUUGAUCAUAAAAUUAGAUGACUGUUAUUUCUUUGUAACAAAAUCAACAUGAAAUGAAAAGUUAGCAUCAAACAUAUAUAGUAAUAAAAAGAGAAGUGAAAAUCAUGCAUAUAACUUGUUGAGGAAACACAUGAUAAGAAAGGAAUGCAAAACAUCUGUGUACUUCUUGGGAUGGAAUUCUCAUUUUCAUUUUGCUAUCGAGAAUUGUAAACAAGGUACGAAAGAAAAAGAGGGGAAUUCUACAAUUGAGAUUCUUUAGUAUUGAUACAUGCUUUGACGGUAAAUUUGAUAUAUGCAUUUGAAGUUUUGAACUGUAAGAGACAUGUUGUUUCACAUAUAAAGGAUAUGAGUUAGUUUGUUAUUUCCCAUAUAAAGGGCAUGGAAUUUUGAAGUGAUGUUUGCAUGAAAAGAGGCCUUCUAUAUUAAUUUUGAAAGGAUGGGACUUUGGGGAAUUUAAAAGCUGCAAAUUGUGAAGGGAAUAAUUGGAAGAGGAAAAGUUUGGGAAGACCCUCUUGAGGUUCACAUUUUUACAUUGAUUACCACAACCUGUCAUGUCAUGAAGUCGAAAGUGAGAAGCUUAAAUCAUGAUAGUACGACAACAAAUUUGAAAUCAAUACAUUUUUUCUCAUAUAUAGUUGCUUUCAACCCAUUAUUCAAAACAACAAUUUACAAUGUUGCCUAAUUGCAGGGCACUAGUAAAAUUGAGGCCCUUCGUCUUGACUUAGAUAAUGGGAAAGGAAGUUACAUGGCUGAAACAUUUAAAGAAUUGACCAAAUUGAGGAUACUUCAACUGGAAGGUGUGAAUCUCACUGGACAUUUUCAGAACUUGUUUCCUCAACUAAGAUUGCUUGAGUGGAUGGAUCAUCAACCGGAUUUUGAAUUGACCAACUUUCACCUGAAGAAAUUAGUCGUGCUCGAUUUGUCGUGGAGCAAGAUUUCAGAGAACUGGGGAGGAUGGAGUCAACUAAAGGUAAAAUGUAAAGAAGGCAUAUGUCUUAUAAAUAAUCACGUGUUGUCGAUGGACCCAAUUGCACCAAGUUAUACUUAAUUUCUUCUGAAAAUAUAUAUUAUGGAUUUUCUUCUAAGCAUAAGAGGAAUUCAUAGGCACCUAAAUAUGUCAAAAGCUUCUACCCCUUAAUAUUUUAGCAAACUAGUCAUGCUUAACAUCAGACCUACUAAUAAAAACUUUUUAAAUCGUAUUAAUUAACAUCUAUCAAAAAUAUAAUUACAAUAAUGUGCCCAUGUUAAUUUUAAUCUAAAUGGUUUAUGGCUUCUAGUUAAUUUCUCCCCAUGCAAAAGUAUGUAUUUUUAGCAAUUCUUGUUAUAUGUAUGUAUGUAUCUUCUUUCAUAAAAAUGCAAAGACCCUCACAGUGACUUGUGUUUUACAUACAUACUAAAAUUCUAAAUUCAUUGUUACUUUUAAAGUAAUGGAAAUAAUUUGUGAACUACUUUGACUUGUUGCGCACAAUAAUUAUUCAUUAUUAUUGUUGAUUGUUGAAGUCACCGUAUAACACAUUUAUAAAGUACUAAUGUCAUAUGAGUAAUACAACACUUUUUUAUGUCUCGUACAUAUAGCAUUUAAAAAUUGUUUUUCAUAAUUAAAGUAGCCAUUUCUCUUUAAUUUCAUACUAAUUGAAGGAAAACAUGGCACCAAAUGAAUGCAUCUCAUUUCUUCCAUUUGACUUUGUCAUAUGUAAUUUGAUAAUAAAAUUUGUGUAUCUCUAUUCAAUAAAUAACAACAUAGUCAUAACUUUGAAAAACUAAACAUGACAUUUUCUAAGAAAUUUUAUUUGCGAAAAAUUGUAGAUAGCACUCAUACAUCCCUAACAUUCUCUUUGCAAUGAUAUGCUUAAAAACAUUUAUAUGCUAGCUUGGCGAAUACACUAUUGAAAAGAAACAUUUAAAAUUAAAUUAAAUAGCUGUGUAAAAAUAGGGAGAAUGGGAUUAUUUUUUUUGUCCAAUCUCAAAGUGGUAACCUCUUUCUUUCAGAUAGCAACCGAGCUCAAGGUUCUCAACCUUACGAAUUGUGCUUUAAGAACAACUCCCGACUUGUCCGCUUUCAAGAGUUUGGAGAUUUUGAUACUUGAAGCUUGUGAGGAUCUAGAAGAGAUUCAUCCUUCUAUCGAGGACAUCGAGACCCUUGUCUCCUUGAAUGUCAGUAAUUGUUGGGAGCUGAAGAAGCUACCACUAGGAGUAGGUAGAAUGGAAAAUUUGAGCAAGCUUCUCAUAGAUAACACUAAUAUACGAGAGAUUCCUAUUUCAAGAGGUUGUUUGACAAAGCUGGAGACUCUACAUGCCUCAGAUUGUAGACGGCUUGCUCAACUUCCAGAAUCCUGGGGCUCCCUUAUGUCAUUAACUCAACUAGACCUAAAAAGAACAGAAAUUGAGGAAUUACCCGAAUCCAUUGGAUCAUUAAAGAAGCUCAAGACUCUAAAUACCUCUUAUUGUGCAUUGUUAACUUGCCUACCCAACUCAAUAGGCGAUUUAGCAUCUCUAUGUUGCCUUGACCUAAGAAAUUGCCAAAAGCUUGCUCAACUUCCAAACUCCAUAGGCUCCCUCGUGUCUCUAUUGCAAUUGUUGUUGUCGAGAUGCUACUCGUUGAGACAAAUCCCAGGCUCGAUUGGAAAGUUGACAUCAUUGACUGAGCUGCAUUUGCAAUCUACGGCCAUUGAAGAAUUACCUAAAUCUAUUGGUUCAUUGAAGGAGCUCAAGACUCUAGAUGCCUCUUAUUGCACAUCGUUAGCCCGCAUACCCAACUCAAUAGGCAAGUCACUAUCUUUGUCUCGCCUUGACCUAACAGGAUGCCAUAAACUUGCUCAACUUCCAGACUUUAUAGGCUCCCUUGUAUCUCUACAACAGUUGUUAUUGUCGGGAUGCCACUUGUUGAGACAAAUCCCAAACUCGAUUGGAAAGUUGACAUCAUUGACAGAGCCGCAUUUGAAAUCUACGGCCAUUGAAGAAUUACCUGAAUCCAUUGGUUCUUUGAAGGAGCUCAAGACUCUAGAUGCCUCUUAUUGUGCAUCGUUAGCCCGCAUACCCAACUCAAUAGGCAAUUCAAUAUCUCUGUCUCACAUUGACCUAACAGGAUGUCAUAAACUUGCUCAACUUCCAGACUCUAUAGGCUCCCUCAUGUCUCUACAGUGGUUGUCAUUGUCAGGAUGCCACUCAUUGAGACAAAUCCCAUACUCGAUUGAAAAGUUGACAUCACUGACUGAGCUACAUUUGAAAUUUAAAGUUAUUGAAAGAUUACCUAAAUCCAUUAGUCUUUUUAAGGAGCUCAAGACUCUAGAUGGCUCUUAUCAUGCAUCGUUAGCCUAUAGACCCACUUCAAUAGGCAAUUCAACGUCUCCGUCUUGUCUUGUC